rnacentral:lncRNA from 1 species
CUCCACCAUUUCAAAUCCUCCGCGCGCCUAACAUACCACUUGAGAAAUUACUAAUGGCCAACAGAAAGAAUGUCAUGGCCAUGUUAUUUCUCACCACCAUUGUGGCGGUGGCGGCCACAAGGCCAGCCGAGACCUAUGGCGUUGCGGAGGAGAACACAUUGAAGAUGGCUACGCCCAGCAGGAAAGGGGUUGACGCUACCUUAGCAGCUACACAUGUUGUUGCCGCCGAGAAGUCCAUCAAGAAGGCUGAAAGCGCCACCACACCAGAAGAGGCCGCGGCUGCCAAGCAAGAUGGAGCAAAAUCUGCUUCUGCUGCAUUAAAGUACAAUGCCAUCUCUCAGCAGGAAAAUGGUAAAGGUUCUUCUACCUCCCUAGGCAGGAAAGAAGCAGCCAAUACUUUAGCCGCCGCACACUAUGCCGCCACCGAGAAGUCCAUCAAGAAGGCCGAAACCGCCAAGACACCUGCAAAGGUCGUGGCUGCCAAGCGAGACGCAGCAAAGUCUGUUGACAAUGCAUUAAAGUAUGGUGCCAUCUCUCGGAAAGCAGCCGGUACAAGUUCUUCUACCUCCCCCAAUAGGAAAGAAGGCACCACUGAUGCUGCUAAGAUGUUCACCAAGAAGGCUGAAACCGCUACCACACCUGAAGAGGCCGCGGCUGCCAAGCAAGCUGCAGCCAAGUCUACCGCUGCUGCAUCAAAGUAUGGUGUCAUUUCUCAGCAAGUAGCUGGUACAAGUUCUUCUACCUCCCCUAGCAGGAAAGAAGCUGCCGGUACCUUGGCAGGUGCUCGCAUAGCUGCUGCCGAGAAGUCCAUCAAGAAGGCUGAAACCACCACAAGACCUGAAGAGGCAACAUCCGCUAAGAAGGAUGCCGCGAAAUCCGAGGCUGAUGCAAUGAAGUACGGGGCCAUCUCUCAGCAGGCCGCCGGCAAAAAUGGUGCCUAAGUGGUGCCUUAAACACCUAUUCACACGCAACAUCAUCUACAUACUACCAUGCAUGCAAAAUAGCAGCAUUCAGAUACCACAUUAUGCUAAUUCUCAUGCAUGCACGCUUUGUUUAAACGUUCCCAUUACGAAUCAUGUAUUAAUGUCUUGCUUGUUUUAUUUUUAGUAGUAAGACACGCUUGACUUGCUUUAAAAAAAAUACAACAAUCGACGUAUACAUGUAUUAUCUGAAAAUUAAUAAUAUGAGUUCCACCGCAAUUUGUUUCUUUUUGUCAUAAUUUGGGUGCAAUCAAUGCACACAUCCAAUACACAAAAUUGGACGACUCAAUGUGUUAUGGCUCCAUGGAGCGGCGAAUCAUGUUUUAUUGUCUUGCUUGUUUUACUUUUAGUAGUAAUGUCUUGCUGGUCAAUGUAUUAUGGCUCCAUGGAGCGGCAUAAUGAUAUAUGAUAUAUCUUCACUACUUCAAAAAGAACUUAAGGUUUUGUCAUACAUCUUUCCUUCAUCCAUCCUCCCUACGAAUCCUUCCUGUUUUGAUUUUUUCUCCCAUCUUUGAUUUUUCUCCCCAUUGAUUCUACCUAAAAACCACCUCAAUGUCACAUGUUUACUGUAUAUGUCAAGGCCUCCUUUGGUUCAUAGGGUAGAAAAAACAUAGGAAUAGGAAAGUCAUAGGAAAUGAGAUGACAUGUAUCUCAAAUCCUAUGAUUGGGAAUAGGAAAGGAGAUGCCCUUUGAUUCACAUCAUAGGAUUUUUUCAUUGAAUCUAGGCUAAUGUUUAUUUUCCUAUGAAAUGUGAAGGAGAGGAAGAAUUCCUCCAUAGGAUUAGGAUUCCAUUCCUACAAACCAAAGGACUCUAAAGGAAUUUUUCCUAUAGAAAUCCUAUCCUAUGAAAUUCUUACAAGAUUCCUCCAAAUCAAAGGAGGCCCAAGUGGUUGUGAUGAGACAGUGGCUGGGCACUUCAGAUUUAUUCCCGUAACUGACUGUCAAAUUGAGUCAUCUGUCAUCCUUUCGAUGAUUGUAAGAAAGUUAUAUGUUUAUUGUAUGUGCCAAGUGGUUGUGAUUAUCGUUACCGGCCACAAAGUUAUAUUUUCUUGUCUUAACGAAGGGUUGCAUACAAUGCGUGUAGCUCUUGACGCCUGAUAACCCACAAGUAUAGGGGAUCGCAACAGUUUUUGAGGGUAGAGUAUUCAACACAAAUUUAUAGAUUCGACACAAGGGAGCCAAAGAAUAUUUGUAAGUAUUAACAACUGAGUUGUCAAUUCAACCACACCUGAAGAUUAAUUAUCUGCAGCAAAGUGAUCAGUAGCAUAGUAGUAUGAUAGUUUUGAUAGUAGUAGCAACAUCAACAGUAACGGUAACAGUGGUAGCAAUGGUUUUGUAGCAGUGACAAUAGUAACAGCAGCAGCAGUAACUUAGCAAGAACAAUAUGUACGAAAAUCGUACGCAUUGGAUCGGUGAUUUGUUGGAUGAUAUUCAUCAUGUGACAGUUACAACCUAGGACGAUACGGCACUAGCUCCAGUUCAUAAAUAUAAUGUAGGCAUGUAUUCUAUAAAUAAUCAUACGUGCUUAUGAAAAGAACUUGUAUGACAUCUUUUGUCCUACCCUCCUGUGGCAGCGGGGUCCUAUUGGAAACUAAGGGAUAUUAAGGCCUCCUUUUAAUAGAGAACCAGAAUAAAGCAUUAACACACGUGAAUACAUGAACUCCUCAAACUACGGUCAUCACAGGGAAGUGUCCCGACUAUUGUCACUCCGGGGUUGCCGGAUCAUAACACGUAGUAGGUAACUAUAACUUGCAAGGUUGGAUCUAGAACAUAGAUAUAAUGGUGAUAACAUAAGUCAUAGCAACAUCAAUCAAGAACAUAAUGGAUACUAGGGAUGAAGCCCUAACAAAACUAACUCAAUUACAUGAUGAAUCUCAUCCAACUCCUCACUGACCAGCGAGCCUACGAAGGAAUUACUCACUCCUGGUGGGGAGCAUCAUGGAAUUGGCGAUGGAGAAGGGUUGGUGAUGACGAAGAUCGAAGAUCCCACUCUCUGGAGCCCCAAACGGACUCCAAAUCUAGCCUCCCGAUGAAGAACAGGAGAUGACGGCGGCUCCGUCUUGUGGAUCGUGAUAAUUCUUUCUCCCUGAUUUUUUUCUGGAAAAAUAGGAUUUUAUAGCGUCGGAUUCAGGGCCUGCGGGGCCACCAGGUGGGGACAACCCACCUGGGUGUGCUUGGAGGGGGGGGGGGGCUGGUGGGUUGUGCCCAUCCAGGUGCCCCCCUCCGAUUGUUCUUGGCUCCAGAAAUUCUCUGUAUUUGUAUAAAAAUUCCUCGCAAAGUUUUGUUCCAAUCCGAAAACUUUUAUUUCUGCACAAAAAAAACACCAUGGUAGUUUUGUUGGAAACAACGUCAGUCCGGGUUAGUUUCAUUCAAAUCAUGCAAAUUAGAGUCCAAAACAAGAGGAAAGUGUUAGGAAAAGUAGAUACGACGGAGACGUAUCAACUCCUCCAAGCUUAAACCUUUGCUUGUCCUUAAGCAAUUCAGUUGAUAAACUGAAAGUGAAAAAAAAUUAUGAACUCUUUUGCUCUUGUUUUCAUAAAUAAGCUUAAACAUCACCCAGUGUCGGUGUCGAAACCGGCGGAUCUCGGAUAGGGGGUUCCGAACUAUGCGUCUAGGCGGAUGGUAACAGGAGACAAGGGACACGAUGUUUACCCAGGUUCGGGCCCUCUCGAUGGAGGUAAAACCCUACUCCUGCUUGAUUAAUAUUGAUGAUAUGGGUAGUACAAGAGUAAAUCUACCACGAGAUCAAGGAGGCUAAACCCUAGAAGCUAGCCUAUGGUAUGAUUGUUGUUGUCCUACGGACUAAAACCCUCCGGUUUAUAUAGACACCGGAGAGGGUUAGGGUUACACAGAGUCGGUUACAAUGGUAGGAGACCUACAUAUCCGUAUCACCAAGCUUGCCUUCCACGCCAAGGAAAGUCCCUUCCGGACACGGGACGAAGUCUUCAAUCUUGUAUGUUCAUAGUCCGGGAGUCCGGCUGAAGGUAUCGUCCGGCUAUCCGGACACCCCCUAAUUCAGGACUCCCUCAGAGCCCCCGAACGAGGCUUCAAUGACGACGAGUCCGGCGCGCAAAUUGUCUUCGGCAUUGCAAGGCGGGUUCUCCUUCAAUUUCUGUGUACCUGCUGAAUAAUGUCCGGUUUCUUAUAAAUGUAGCGCUCCUCGGCUUCCACGCCCAAUAAUGGCCGUCUUCCACGUGUCAAAUGAAUACGAAAAGUCUGGGUGUUUUUACAUUCACACCCCCAGCCGCGUAAAUGAGCUGCCUAUUUAAAGGGACGGGGAUUUAGAUCCAAACCACACCUUCUCCUCUCCGCGAGUUUCAUCAGAGCGCAUCCGACAAAGGACCGUUCCAUCAUGGCCAGCGGUCGCAGCUCCUCCUCUCGCCCUUCCAGCCCUCAUCCUGGAGAUUGGGAGAGAUGCUCCGUCCCGCACAUCGAGCUAGUGUCGCUUCGGACCAAAGGGAUUUCUUCCUCCUGCCUAUAUGGUCCCGGUUCGAGCCGGACUUGCCACCUAUAAUGGCGGAGAGCAAGCGGAGAACGCCCCCAAUCCCUCCAAAGGAGAGCGGGUAUGCCUUGUCCCUUAUUUAAUAAGAGGGCUCGGAUUUCCAAUUCAUCCAUUUCUCCGGGGGCUCCUGGAGUUCUACGGCCUCCAGCUGCACAACCUCAUGCCUGUCUCCGUAUUGCAUAUUGCGGGCUUCGUAGCCCUUUGCGAGUUGUUUUUGGGUGUUGAGGCUCAUUUCGCGCUGUGGAAGAGGCUAUUUUGCCUUGUGCCCUGUUCUUAGGAGGGGUCAAUAUAUCAAGUGGGCGGAGCCAAAGUGUGGUGUAUCGCCAGGACCGGAUAUCUAUCCGGAACCCCAAAGAAGGCGUCCGAGGACUGGCCUUCAGAAUGGUUUUAUAUAGAGGACGUCCCGUUGCCGGAUCCUGUUCGGAUCGGCCUCCCUGAGUUCAACAGCGCUCCCCUGAAGAAACGUCUAAGCUGGCACCCACGGAGCCCUCAGAGAGAAAGUGACAAGGACGUUCUUUACCUGAUGGGCCGGAUAAGAUUAUUAGCUCAUUCCGGACUAACCAUGAUCGGAGUCAUGGCCGCAUGCAUCAUGCGAGGGGUGCAACCGCUUCAGUACAGAGGCCACCCCAUGUGGGACUUCAACGGGGAGGAUGAUGCCACCCGUCACGGCCGUAAGGGGCCGGACUCGGCUACCGCUCUAGUAAAGAUCUUGUCCGCUUUGUACAAGGGAGAAGAGGAGGAAUUUCUCCGCGUCAACCCACAGGGUGGAUUUACCAUGUACAAUCCCCCAAGUUGGGUAAGUGGGCAAUUUUACUUGCCCGUCUGUUUUGUAUUCCCAUCAUUAAAUAUAUAGUCUAACGACUUCAACGCAGGAACUGCGCCAGGAAGUAAAGGACAUAAACAGCCCGCCUCCACAGCCUGAGGACCCAGAGUUGUCCCUCGAUCCGGCCUCCGAAGAGGAUCCGGACUUAUCCAUGGAGUUAAUUGAUGGGGUGUUUUAUCAAUUGAGCAAGGACAAUGCCUUGGUGGCCAUUAAGGCCGAUUACCCGGGGCUGCUCCCGGCCUCCCAGGUAACUGAGACCGAAGUCCUAGCACCUCAAAAAGGGAUCCGCCCUCGCGUGUUUUUCAGUUUCCUGACAACAACCGUGUUUUGUAGGGGAGGUUCUUGAGACGGGAGGCCGAGCCUGCGGUGACUAGCCAACGAGGGGCCACAGGGCCCCGUGGGAUGAAAAGAAGUGCAGUCCGGACUGAGGCACCGGCGCAGAGGUAUAGCGCGCCUUCUUAUUCCCAGGUGUUAUUCCUUCAAGGCAUAUUAACACUCGUGCUCUUUUCAGGACAAAAAGACCCCGCCGGACUAUAUCCAGAGAGGCUGCCAAUCGCGCCUCCACCAGCCAGGAUCCAAAGCCUGGUCCGGAGACGGAGGCGAACACGAGGCGCGCACCGGACGCUCCUCCAACAGAUGAUGCGGACAGGCUGUCCGCCACUAAUUCCGAGGUGGAGAGUGCCAUGAACCACAGGCGUCGCCGGACAGUUCUUCGCGACGCUUGUUUCUCCCAAGAGGCAUUGGACGCCUUCAAUUCGGGAGAUGCGUACCUUCGUGCCGCUCAAAAUGGUCUAGCCAGAGCCACGGAGCAAUAUGUAAAAGACAUACGGGUGAGAAAAUUUAAUGGUUAUAUAUAUCAGUAGCCCCCGAGACUUGAAACAGUUAGAAGAACUGAUUUAAGGAUCAUUCAUAAUGCAGGUUCUUGCGGAAAAGAAUACCCAACUGUCCCAGGAGCUAGAAGAGUGCAAAGCCCAACUUGAGGCCGCACUAGCCGCGACAGGGGAGCCCAAGGAGACCCCCUCUGGUAAUAUGUGCUUCAAAAAGAGAAGUAUUUUGUGAAGUGCGGCGUAUGUGCAAAUCUGACGAAUGAAAUUGCAGAUGGCGCCGGAUUAGAUCCGGAAAAGCAACAAAUCCUACGCCAGCUAAAGGCUGGUGAGAGCGUGCUGACAAAGGUGAGGCGGGAGAAGAACGAUCUCCAAUAUGCCAACACCAAGCUGGGCGUUGAACUGAAAGAUGUUUGUGCCCAGUUGUCAGACUCCGCUAAGGAGAAUCAGCGGCUUCGACGCGGCAUAUUUAGUAAGUGCUUAAACGAACUUUGAAUAAAGAGUUCGACAAGGAAGUCGACUAACGGAGUAAUGUCUGUAGGUAUGCUAACAGGUCGUCCUGCAGAGGAGAUGCCCGGUUCUAUGGGUGACCUUCUUCUUGAGCUCUUGCAACUGCACGAGCGAGUUCAACAGGUGAUGCAGGGCGUCGCCCAGGCCUUGUGGCCAUCCAUCUCCAUGCCCGAAGGACUUGGAGAGGUUGCAGAGAAGCUGAAGGGAGCGCGGCGGCGCUUCCGAUUGUGGAAGAUAUCGGCCUGCCGUCAAGGCGCUAGGGAGGCCUGGGCCAUGGUGAAGACGCGGUACACGAAGGCUGACCCAAACCACAUGGCCGAGGUCGGACCUGUGGGGCCCGAUGGGAAGGAGAUCCCUGUAAGCUUAGUAUACGGCCAAGUAGAAUUGCCCGCAAAGUAUUCCCAGCAGGACUGUAAGCUAGACAGCAUGUUAGAUGGUAUUGAAGAGGAAUACAAUUAGUCAUAAUGACUAUGUAAUUUUAAUUGACAUGUGUAAUGCCUUCUAGCCGGAUUGUAGAUCGUUUUUCAUGGCCGACCUUUUUGCUUCGACCUCGGGACCUGACGGUCCGGAGUGUGUCCGAAUACCCUUGCGGUUAUAUAAGAACCGGGGUAUGCAUGGAGACCAGGCGUAGGGGUCAUUAGUGCUUGAACAGACAAGUGCCCGACUAGUUAUGUUAUAUUACAUGGUUAGUAAGAAACAUCUUCCAGGGAGAAUAGUUCCGUUAGGGGUUCCUUUCCCUGGGAGGCAUGCCCUAAAGUGCAUGUCCAUUCUGCGAAAAGAGACGCAGGAAAAAACAUCUGGGGGCGCAUAGAUAAAUAAGUGAAAAAAAUCAUCUUUAGUUCACCGACCGAAUAUUCCCUUAAGGACGCUAGCUUUCGGCUUCACCCAGUCUGAGGUACACAUCGGGCUGACCCGGCAGUAACAAUCGCAGAGGUGCUCCCUUUACCACCUAGCCGAACAAUCGGAAACAUAGGGCUAAGCACAGGAGCCAGGCAACCCAGCUUGGCUAAAACUUAAGUCAUAUCGAUACAUAUGAUGGUGAAUAAAAGGUACAUGCGGAAGUGUGACACAUGUGUUGGGCAUGAAGCCCGUAUAAGCUUCUGUUCAAAGAAGCCCCCAGGUUUAGUGAGCGCGGAUAGCGCGUCACUUGAUGAGCCUUUAAAGGCUAUAAGAGAAAGGAGGGGGAGAAGGAGAAAAUGGAAGACAGAAAAUAUAAAAAAUGGACAGAGGAAGGAGACGAACAUAGAAUCCGGCGCUAGGCAUAGAAUCUUCGGAGACGGGCUGCGUUCCAUGGGUUCGGCUCGAGUCGGUUAUCCGAUGCAUCUCACAGGCGGUACGUUCCACCAGUCAGGACUUGGUCAAUUAUGAAGGGACCUUCCCACUUGGGCUGGAGUUUGUCCUUUUUCUUGUCCGGCAGGCGUAGAACUAGUUCGCCAACAUUGUAAUUUUUGGCCCGUACUUCUCUGCUUUGAUAUCUUCGAGCCUGCUGUUGAUAGAAUGCGGAACGGGCUUUUGCCACGUCACGCUCCUCCUCCAAGGCGUCCAAACUGUCCUGCCGAUCGAGCUCGGCUUCUCUUUCUUCGUACAUGUGCACUCAAGGUGAGUCAUGAAUUAUAUCGCAGGGCAAAACUGCUUCUGCGCCGUACACCAUGAAGAAUGGUGUGUAUCCGGUGGUGCGAUUCGGCGUGGUCCGCAGCCCCCAGAGUACGGAGUCGAGCUCCUCUACCCAGUGCGUGUUAGAUUCCUUAAGGGACCGCACUAAUCUGGGUUUGAUGCCGCUCAUGAUAACACCAUUUGCGUGUUCGACCUGUCCGUUAGUUUGUGGGUGAUAGACGGAAGCAGAAUCGAGCUUGAUGCCCAUGUUUUUGCACCAGAGUUUUACCUCAUCGACCGUAAAGUUCGUACCGUUAUCAGUGAUGAUGCUGUGGGGGACGCCGUAACGGUGUACGACCCCGGAUAUAAAGUCUAUCACUGGUACAGAUUCGGCCGUCUUAAUAGGCUUGGCCUCUAUCCAUUUGGUGAACUUAUCCACCAUGACCAGUAAGUAUUUUUUCUUGUGGGUUCCGCCUUUAAGGGGUCCAACCAUGUCAAGCCCCCAGACCGCGAAGGGCCAAGUGAUGGGGAUAGUUUGGAGGGCGGUGGGUGGCAUAUGGCUUUGGUUUGGCAAAAGCUGGCAACCGACGCAUCGUUGGACUAAGUCCUGAGCGUCUGCCCGGGCCGUUGGCCAAUAAAAGCCUGUACGGAAAGCCUUGCUUACGAGGGACCAAGCUGCGGUGUGAUGACCACCGAGUCCGGCAUGAAUUUCAGCCAGCAAGUUCCGCCCAUCCUCCUCAGAGAUGCACCUUUGAAGGACUCCGGUAGUGCUUUUCUUAUAAAGCUCUCCCUCAUGGACUUUAUAGGCUUUAGAUCGCCGCACUAUGCAGCGUGCCUCAUUUUGGUCUUCUGGGAGUUCCUGCCUAGUAAGAUAGGCUAGGAAUGGUUCUGUCCACGGGGCGAUGACUGCCAUUAUUACGUGGGCUGAAUAUGUGACUUCAUUGGCAGAGUCUCCAAUUAUGUCAGUGUUGGCUAACGUAGCAGAAAUUCAAAAUUUUCCUACGUGUCACCAAGAUCUAUCUAUGCAGAAACCAGCAACGAGGGGAAGGAGAGUGCAUCUACAUACCCUUGUAGAUCGCUAAGCGGAAGCGUUCAAGAGAACGGGGUUGAAGGAGUCGUACUCGUCGUGAUCCAAAUCACCGAUGAUCCUAGUGCCGAACGGACGGCACCUCCGCGUUCAACACACGUACAGCCCGGUGACGUAUCCCACGCCUUGAUCCAGCAAGGAGAGAGGGAGAGGUUGAGGAAGACUCCAUCCAGCAGCAGCACAACGGCGUGGUGGUGGUGGAGGAGCGUGGCAAUCCUGCAGGGCUUCGCCAAGCACCACGGGAGAGGAGGAAGGAGAGAUGCAGGGCUGCAUCAUAUAGAGGAGAGGAACUCGCGUCUUAUGAGCAGCCCAAACCUCAACUAUAUAUAGGGGAAGGGGAGGGGCUGCGCCCCCUUUAGGGUUUCCACCCCUAGGGGUGGCGGCCAGCCUAGAUCCCAUCUAAGGGAGGCGGCCAAGGGGGAGGGGGAGAGGGAGGCGCACCAGGAUGGGCCUUAGGGCCCAUCUGCCCUAGGGUUUGCCCCCUUCUCCUCUCCCUUGCGCCUUGGGCCCUUGUGGGGGGGCGCACCAGCCCACCUGGGGCUGGUCCCCUUCCACACUUGGCCCAUGAAGCCCUCCGGGGCUGGUGGCCCCACUUGGUGGACCCCCGGGACCCUCCCGGUGGUCCCGGUACGUUACCGAUAAACCCCGAAACUUUUCCGGUGACCAAAACAGGACUUCCCAUAUAUAAAUCUUUACCUCCGGACCAUUCGGGAACUCCUCAUGACGUCCGGGAUCUCAUCCGGGACUCCUAACAACAUUCGGUAACCACAUACAAACUUCCUUUAUAACCCCAGCGUCAUCGAACCUUAAGUGUGUAGACCCUACGGGUUCGGGAGACAUGCAUACAUGACCGAGACGUUCUCCGGUCAAUAACCAACAGCGGGAUCUGGAUACCCAUGUUGGCUCCCACAUGUUCCACGAUGAUCUCAUCGGAUGAACCACGAUGGCAAGGACUUAAUCAAUCCCGUAUACAAUUCCCUUUGUCUAUCUGUACGAUACUCGCCCGAGAUUCGAUCGUCGGUAUCCCGAUACCUUGUUCAAUCUUGUUACCGGCAAGUCUCUUUACUCGUUCCGUAACACAUCAUCCCAUGAUCAACUCCUUGAUCACAUUGUGCACAUUAUGAUGAUGUCCUACCGAGUGGGCCCAGAGAUACCUCUCCGUCACACGGAGUGACAAAUCCCAGUCUCGAUUCGUGCCAACCCAACAGACACUUUCAGAGAUACCCGUAGUGUACCUUUAUAGCCACCCAGUUACGUUGUGACGUUUGGCACACCCAAAGCACUCCUACGGUAACCGGGAGUUGCACAAUCUCAUGGUCUAAGGAAAUGAUACUUGACAUUAGAAAAGCUUUAGCAUACGAACUACUUAGGAUUGGGUCUUGUCCAUCACAUCAUUCUCCUAAUGAUGUGAUCCCGUUAUCAACGACAUCCAAUGUCCAUGGUCAGGAAACCGUAACCAUCUAUUGAUCAACGAGCUAGUCAACUAGAGGCUUACUAGGGACAUGGUGUUGUCUAUGUAUCCACACAUGUAUCUGAGUUUCCUAUCAAUACAAUUCUAACAUGGAUAAUAAACGAUUAUCAUGAACAAGGAAAUAUAAUAAUAAUCAAUUUAUUAUUGCCUCUAGGGCAUAUUUCCAACAGUCUCCCACUUGCACUAGAGUCAAUAAUCCAGUUCACAUCGCUAUGUGACUAACACUCAAGGUCACAUGCCCAUGUGACUAACACCCAAAGAGUUUACUAGAGUCAAUAAUCUAGUUCACAUUUACCAUGUGAUUAACACUCGAUGAGUUCUGGGUUUGAUCAUGUUAUGCUUGUGAGAGAGGUUAUAGUCAACGGGUCUGAACCUUUCAGAUCCGUGUGUGCUUUACAAAUCUCUAUGUCAUCUCCUAGAUGCAGCUACCACGCUCUAUUUGGAGCUAUUCCAAAUAGCUGUUCUACUAUACGAAUCCAGUUUACUACUCAGAAUAAUCUGGAUUAGUGUCAAAGUUUGCAUCGGUGUAACCCUUUACGAUGAACUCUUUUACCACCUCCAUAAUCGAGAAAAUUCCUUAGUCCACUAGUUACUAAGGAUAACUUUGACCGCUGUCCUGUGAUCCAUUCUUGGAUCACUCUUGUACCCCUUGACUGACUCAUGGCAAGGCACACUUCAGGUGCGGUACAUAGCAUAGCAUACUGUAGAGCCUAUGUCUUAAGCAUAGGGGACGACCUUCGUUCUUUCUCUCUAUUCUGCCGUGGUCGAGCUUUAAGUCUUAACUUCAUACCUUACAACUCAGGCAAGAACUCCUUCUUUGACUGAUCCAUCUUGAACACCUUCAAGAUCAUGUCAAGGAAUGUGCUCAUUUGUAAGUACCAUUAAGUGUUUUGAUCUAUCCUUAUAGAUCUUGAUGCUCAAUGUUCAAACAGCUUAAUCCAGGCUUUCCAUUGAAAAAACACUUUCCAAAUAACCCUAUAUGCUUUCCAGAAAUUCUACGUCAUUUCUGAUCAACAAUAUGUCAACAACAUAUAUUCAUCAGAAAUUCUAUAGUGCUCCCACUCACUUCUUUGGAAAUACAAGUUUCUCAUAAACUUCGUAUUCACCCAAAAUCUUUGAUCAUCUCAUCAAAGCAUACAUUCCAACUCGAGAUGCUUACUCCAGUCCUUAGAAGGAUUGCUGGAGCUUUGCAUACUUAUUAGCAUAUUUCAGGAUUGACAAAACCUUCCGGUUGUAUCACAUACAACCUUUCCUCAAAAAUCGUCGAGGAAACAAUGUUUUGACAUCCUAUCUGCAAGAUUUCAUAAAUGAUGCAGUAAUUGCUAAUAUAAUUCCAACAGACUCUUAGCAUCGCUAUGAGUGAGAAAGUCUCAUCGUAGUCAACUCCUUGAACUUGUCGGAAAACAUCUUAAUGACAAGUCGAGCUUUCUUAAUGGUGAUACUUACCAUCAUUGUCCGUCUUCCUUUUAAAAUCCAUAUGUACCUAACAGCCUUACGACCAUCAAGUAGUUCUUCCAAAGUCUACACUUUGUUUUCACAUAUGGAUCCUCUCUCGGAUUAUAUGGCCUUGAGCCAUUUUGGAAUCCAUGCCCACCAUCGCUCCUCCAUAGCUCGUAGGUUCAUCGUUGUCUAGCAACAUGACUUCCAAGACAGGAUUACGUACCAUUCUGAAGCAGUACACAUCCUUGUCAUCCCACGAGGUUUGGUAGUGACUUGAUCUGAAGUUUCAUGAUCACUAUCAUAAGCUUCCACUUCAAUUGGUGUAGGUGCCACAGGAACAACUCCCUGUGCCCUGCCACACACUAGUUGAAGAGAUGGUUCAAUAACCUCAUCAAGUCUCCACCAUCCUCCCACUCAAUUCUUUCGAGAGAAACUUUUCCUCGAGAAAGGACCCGAUUCUAGUAACAAUCCCUUAUUGCUUUCGAAUCUGAGACAGGAGGUAUACCCAACCGUUUUGGGUGUCCUAUGAAGAUGUAUUUAUCCGCUUUGGGUUCGAGCUUAUCGGCCUGAAACUUUUUCACAUAAGCGUCGCAGCCCCAAACUUUUAAGAAAUGACAGCUUAGGUUUCUCUAAACCAUAGUUCAUACGGUGUCAUCUCAUCAGAAUUACGUGGUGCCCUAUUUAAAGUGAAUGUGGUUGUCUCUAAUGCCUAACCCAUAAACUAUUGUGGUAAUUCGAUAAGAGACAUCAUGGUAUGCAUCAUAUCCAAUAGGGUGCAGUUAUGAUGUUCGGACACACCAUCACACUAUGGUGUUCCAGGCUGUAUCAGUUGUGAAACAAUUUCCACAAUGUCUUAAUUCUGUGCCAAACUCGUAAUUCAGAUAUUCAUCUCUAUGAUCAUAUCAUAGAUAUUUUAUCCUCUUGUCACGAUGAUCUUUCAACUUCACCCUGAAAUUACUUGAACCUUUCAAUAAUUCAGACUCGUGAUUCAUCAAGUAAAUAUACUCAACAUCUACUCAAAUCAUCUAUGAAGUAAGAACAUAACGAUAUCCACUACAUGCCUCAGCACUCAUUGGACUGCACACAUCAAAAUGUAUUACUUCCAACAAGUUGCUUUCUAGUUCCAUUUUACUGAAACUGAGGCUUUCAGUCAUCUUGCCCAUGUGGUAUGAUUUGCAUGUCUCAAGUGAUUCAAAAUCAAGUGAGUCCAAAUGGUCCAUUUGCAUGGAGUUUCUUCAUGCAUAUACACCAAUAGACAUGGUUCGCAUGUCUCAAACUUUUCAAAAACGAGUGAUCCCAAAGAUCCAUCAACAUGGAGCUUCUUCAUGCGUUUUAUACCGAUAUGACUUACGUGGCAGUGCCACAAGUAGGUGGUACUAUCAUUACUAUCUUAUAUCUUUUGGCAUGAACAUGUGUAUCACUACGAUCGAGAUUCAAUAAACCAUUCAUUUUAGGUGCAAGACCAUUGAAGGUAUUAUUCAAAUGAACAGAGUAACCAUUAUUCUCCUUAAAUGAAUAGCCGUAUUGCGAUAGACAUAAUCCAAUCAUGUCUAUGCUCAACGCAAACAGCAAAUAACAAUUAUUUAGGUUUAACACCAAUCUCGAUGGUAGAGGGAGCGUGCGAUGCUUGAUCAUAUCAACAUUGGAAACACUUCCAACACAUAUCGUCAGCUCACCUUUAGCUAGUCUCCGUUUAUUCCGUAGCUUUUAUUUCAAGUUACAAACACUUAGCAACCGAACCGGUAUCUAAUACCCUGGUGCUACUAGGAGUACCAGUAAAGUACACAUUAACACAAUGUAUAUCCAAUAUACUUCUAUCGACCUUGCCAGCCUUCUCUUCUACCAAGUAUCUAGGGUAAUUCUGCUCCAGUGGCUGUUCCCCUUAUUACAGAAGCACUUAGUCUCGGGUUUGGGUUCAACCUUGGGUUUCUUCACUAGAGCAGCAGCUGAUUUGCCGUUUCAUGAAGUAUCCCUUCUUGCCCUUGCCCUUCUUGAAACUAGUGGUUUCACCAACCAUCAACAAUUGAUGCUCCUUCUUGAUUUCUACUUUUGUGGUGUCAAACAUCGCGAAUAUCUCAAGGAUCAUCAUAUAUGUCCCUGAUAUAUUAUAGUUCAUCACGAAGCUCUAGCAGCUUGGUGGUAAUGACUUCGGAGAAACAUCACUUUCUCAUCUGGAAGAUCAACUCCCACUCGAUUCAAAUGAUUGUUGUACUCAGACAAUCUGAGCACAAGCUCAACAAUUGAGCUUUUCUCCCUUAGUUUGCAGGCUAAGAAAAUCGUCAGAGGUCUUAUACCUCUUGACGUGGGCACGAGCCUGAAAUCCAAAUUUCAGCCCUCGAAACAUCUCAUAUGCUUCGCGGCGUUUCAAAACGUCUUCGGUGCCUCAACUCUAAACCGUUUAACUAAACUAUCACGUAGUUAUCAAAAUGUGUAUGUCAGAUGUUCGCAACAUCCACAGACAACGUUCGAGGUUCAGCACAUUGAGUGGUGCAUUAAGGACAUAAGCCUUCUAUGAAGCAAUGAGGACAAUCCUCAGUUUACGGACCUAGUCCGCAUAAUUGCUACUAUCAACUUUCAACUAAUUUUUUUCUCUCUAGGAACAUAUCUAAACAGUAGAACUAAAGUGCGAGCUAUGACAUAAUUUGCAAAAUCCUUUUGACUAUGUUGAGGAUAAACAAGUUGAUCUUAUGAACUUCCACUCAGAUAGAUAUCCCUCUAGUCAUCUAAGUGAUUACAUGAUCCGAGUCAACUAGGCCGUGUCCGAUCAUCACGUGAGACGGACUAGUCAUCAUCGGUGAACAUCUUCAUGUUGAUCGUAUCUACCAUACGACUCAUGCUCGACCUUUCGGUCUCUUGUGUUCCGAGGCCAUGUCUGUACAUGCUAGGCUCGUCAAGUCAACCUAAGUGUUUCGGGUGUGUAAAUCUGUCUUACACCCGUUGUAUGUGAACGUUAGAAUCUAUCACACCCGAUCAUCACGUGGUGCUUCGAAACGACGAACUUUCGCAACGGUGCACAGUUAGGGGGAACACUUUCUUGAAAUUUUAAUGAGGGAUCAUCUUAUUUACUACCGUCGUUCUAAGCAAAUAAGAUGUAUAAACAUGAUAAACAUCACUUGCAAUCAAAUAGUGACAUGAUAUGGCCAAUAUCAUAGUGCUCCUUUUGAUCUCCAUCUUCGGGGCUCCAUGAUCAUCAUCACCGGCAUGACACCAUGAUCUCCAUCAUCAUGAUCUCCAUCAUCGUGUCUUCAUGAUGUUGUCUCGCCAACUAUUACUUCUACUACUACAGCUAACGGUUAGCAAUAAAGUAAAGUAAUUACAUGGCGUUGUUUAAUGACAAGCAGGUCAUAUAAUAAAUUAAGAAACUCCUAUGGCUCCUGCCGGUUGUCAUACUCAUCGACAUGCAAGUCGUGAUUCCUAUUACAAGAACAUGAUCAAUCUCAUACAUCACAUAUCAUUCAUCACAUUCUUCUUGGCCAUAUCACAUCACAUAGCAUACCCUGCAAAAACAAGUUAGACGUCCUCUAAUUGUUGUUUGCAUGUUUUACAUGGCUGCUAUGGGUUUCUAGCAAGAACGUUUCUUACCUAGGCAAAACCACAACGUGAUAUGCCAAUUGCUAUUUACCCUUCAUAAGGACCCUUUUCAUCGAAUCCGAUCCGACUAAAGUGGGAGAGACAAACACCCGCCAGCCACCUUAUGCAACUAGUGCAUGUUUGUCGGUGGAACCGGUCUCACGUAAGCGUACGUGUAAGGUUGGUCUGGGCCGCUUCAUCCCACAAUGCCGCCGAAUCAAGAUUGGACUAGUAACGGUAAGCAUAUUGAACAAAAUCAACGCCCACAACUACUUUGUGUUCUACUCGUGCAUAGAAUCUACGCAAUAGACCUAGCUCAUGAUGCCACUGUUGGGUAACGUAGCAGAAAUUCAAAAUUUUCCUACGUGUCACCAAGAUCUAUCUAUGGAGAAACCAGCAACGAGGGGAAGGAGGGUGCAUCUACAUACCCUUGUAGAUCGCUAAGCGGAAGCGUUCAAGAGAACGGGGUUGAAGGAGUCGUACUCGUCGUGAUCCAAAUCACCGAUGAUCCUAGUGCCGAACGGACGGCACCUCCGCGUUCAACACACGUACAGCCCGGUGACGUAUCCCACGCCUUGAUCCAGCAAGGAGAGAGGGAGAGGUUGAGGAAGACUCCAUUCAGCAGCAGCACAACGGCGUGAUGGUGGUGGAGGAGCGUGGCAAUCCUGCAGGGCUUCGCCAAGCACCACGGGAGAGGAGGAAGGAGAGAUGCAGGGCUGCGUCAUAUAGAGGAGAGGAACUCGCGUCUUAUGAGCAGCCCAAACCUCAACUAUAUAUAGGGGAAGGGGAGGGGCUGCGCCCCCUUUAGGGUUUCCACCCCUAGGGGUGGCGGCCAGCCUAGAUCCCAUCUAAGGGAGGCAGCCAAGGGGGAGGGGGAGAGGGAGGCGCACCAGGAUGGGCCUUAGGGCCCAUCUGCCCUAGGGUUUGCCCCCUUCUCCUCUCCCUUGCGCCUUGGGCCCUUGUGGGGGGGGGGGGAGCACCAGCCCACCUGGGGCUGGUCCCCUUCCACACUUGGCCCAUGAAGCCCUCCGGGGCUGGUGGCCCCACUUGGUGGACCCCCGGGACCCUCCCGGUGGUCCCGGUACGUUACCGAUAAACCCCGAAACUUUUCCGGUGACCAAAAUAGGACUUCCCAUAUAUAAAUCUUUACCUCCGGACCAUUCCGGAACUCCUCGUGACGUCCGGGAUCUCACCCGGGACUCCGAACAACAUUCGGUAACCACAUACAAACUUCCUUUAUAACCCUAGAGUCAUCGAACCUUAAGUGUGUAGACCCUAUGGGUUCGGGAGACAUGCAGACAUGACCGAGACGUUCUCCGGUCAAUAACCAACAGCGGGAUCUGGAUACCCAUGUUGGCUCCCACAUGUUCCACGAUGAUCUCAUCGGAUGAACCACGAUGUCAAGGACUUAAUCUAUCCCGUAUACAAUUCCCUUUGUCUAUCGGUACGAUACUCGCCCGAGAUUCGAUCGUCGGUAUCCCGAUACCUUGUUCAAUCUCAUUACCGGCAAGUCUCUUUACUCGUUCCGUAACACAUCAUCCCGUGAUAAACUCCUUGAUCACAUUGUGCACAUUAUGAUGAUGUCCUACCGAGUGGGCCCAGAGAUACCUCUCCGUCACACGGAGUGACAAAUCCCAGUCUCGAUUCGUGCCAACCCAACAGACACUUUCGAAGAUACCCGUAGUGUACCUUUAUAGCCACCCAGUUACGUUGUGACGUUUGGCACACCCAAAGCACUCCUACGGUAACCGGGAGUUGCACAAUCUCAUGGUCUAAGGAAAUGAUACUUGACAUUAGAAAAGCUUUAGCAUACGAACUACACGAUCUAGUGCUAUGCUUAGGAUUGCGUCUUUUCCAUCACAUCAUUCUCCUAAUGAUGUGAUCCCGUUAUCAACGACAUCCAAUGUCCAUGGUCAGGAAACCGUAACCAUCUAUUGAUCAACGAGCUAGUCAACUAGAGGCUUACUAGGGACAUGGUGUUGUCUAUGUAUCCACACAUGUAUCUGAGUUUCCUAUCAAUACAAUUCUAGCAUGGAUAAUAAACGAUUAUCAUGAACAAGGAAAUAUAAUAAUAAUCAAUUUAUUAUUGCCUCUAGGGCAUAUUUCCAACAGUCAGAUUGUUCGGUGUUGGGCAGUGCGGUUGAGUCCGGGCUGUUAUUGCCGGGUUCCCCUUCCCAUACUACGGACGGCUUGAAUAGCCUUUCCAAGAAGAUGUUGGGAGGGACUGCAUCGCGUUUUGCGCCGAUGCGUGCCAGGACAUCCGCCGCCUGAUUAUUUUCCCGGGCUAUAUGGUGAAAUUCGAGCCCUUCGAACCGAGCUGACAUUUUUAAGACGACGUUGCGAUAAGCUGCCAUUUUUGGAUCCUUGGCAUCGAAGUCUCUGUUUAUUUGGGAUAUUGCAAGGUUCGAAUCCCCUCGCACUUCUAGGCGUUGAAUACCCAUGGAUACUGCCAUCUAGAGACCAUGUAAGAGGGCCUCGUAUUCGGCUGCAUUGUUGGAGUCUGUGUACAUAAUCUGGAGUACAUAUUGAACUAUGUCUCCUGUGGGGGACGUCAAAACGACGCCAGCCCCCAGACCGGCCAACAUUUUGGAGCCGUAGAAAUGCAUGAUCCAGUUUUAAUAUGUGCCGUACUCUUUAGGGAGUUCAGCCUCCGUCCAUUCUGUGACGAAGUCAGCCAAAACUUGCGACUUGAUAGCUCGCCGUGGCUUAUAAGUUAUGUCGAACGAGAGGAGCUCGAUGGCCCAUUUCGCAAUCCGGCCCGUUGCGUCGCGGUUGUUUAUAAUAUCGUUUAGUGGUACUUCUGAGGCUACUGUUAUUGAACACUCUUGAAAGUAGUGUCGCAGCUUCCGGGAUGCCAUGAAUACCGCGUACGCAAUCUUUUGAUAAUGCGGGUACCUUGAUUUGCACGGAGUGAGGACAGUGGCCACAUAAUAGACCGGCUUCUGAAGGGGGAAUUUGUGUCCGUCCGUUUCUCGUUCGACGACGAGCACUGCGCUCACAACCUGAUGGGUUGCUGCAAUGUAUAAUAGCAUUGGUUCGCCAAUGUUUGGCGCGGCCAGGACUGGGUUUGUUGCCAAUAUGGCUUUUAUUUUGUCGAGUCCGGCCGUGGCUGCGUCCGUCCACUCGAAGUGUUCGGUGCGCCGAAGGAGGCGGUAAAGGGGGAGUGCCUUUUCUCCCAAGCGGGAGAUAAAGCGGCUUAGAGCCGCCACGCAUCCGGUUUACUUUUGUAUUUGUUUGAGGUCCUUUGGGAUAUCCAAUUGUGACAGAGCUCGGAUCUUGGCUGGAUUUGCUUCAAUUCCUCUACCGAAUACAAUGAAGCCCAAGAGCUUACCGGCUGGAACGCCGAAAACGCAUUUUUCCGGGUUGAGCUUGAUGUCGUAUGUUCGAAGGUUAUCAAAUGUGAGCCUCAAGUCGUCUACUAGGGAUUCAACAUGUCUUGUUUUUACGACCACAUCAUCUACGUAUGCCUCCACUGUUUUGCCGAUCUGGUUUGCCAGACAUGUCUGAAUCAUGCGCUGAUAUGUUGUUUUGAGCCCGAAGGGCAUUGUGUUGAAGCAGAAUGGGCCGUAUGGUGUGAUGAAUGCCGUUGCGGCUUGGUCUGAUUCUGCCAUCUUGAUUUGAUGGUAGCCGGAAUAUGCGUCGAGCAAGCACAACAAAUCGUGUCCUACAGUAGCGUUGAUAAUUUGAUCGAUGCGAGGGAGGGGGAAGGGAUCCUUUGGGCAAGCCUUAUUAAGGUCUUUAAAAUCAACGCACAGGCGCUAGGAUUUGUCCUUCUUUGGUACCAUCACCAGGUUUGCUAGCCAGUUCGGAUGUUUUAUAUCUCUGAUGGAUCCGGCCUCUAAUAGCUUGGCUAGCUCCUCUCCCAUGGCCUGUCUCUUAGGUUCGGAAAAACGCCGAAGAGCCUGUUUGACAGGUUUGAAUCCUUUAGGAUAUUUAAGCUGUGUUCGGCCAGCCUGCGUGGGAUUCCUGGCAUGUCUGAAGGGUGCCAGGCGAAAAUGUCCCAGUUCUCACGUAGGAACUCUCGUAGUGCGGCGUCUACAUCAGGGUUUAAUUGUGCACCGAUGGAAGCUGUUUUAUUGGGGUCCGUUGGAUGGACCUGGAAUUUGACUAUUUCGUCCGCUGGUUUAAAUGAGGUGGACUUGGAUAUUUUGUCGAGUAUCACAUCAUCCCUGUUCACCGUGGAGCGCAGCGCAGUCAGCUCCUCAGCCGCUAGGGCUUCGGAUAGUGCCUCAAGGGCCAGUGCGACUGUCUUAUUUUAGGCGCGGAGUGCUAUGUCCAGAUCACUAGCGAGAGUGAUGAUUCCGUUCGGCCCGGGCAUCUUGAGUUUCAUGUACCCAUAAUGGGGUAUUGCUUGGAAGAUUGUGAACGCUUCCCGCCCUAGCAGAGCAUGGUAUCCGCUACUGAACGGGACCACUUGGAACGUGACCUCCUUGGACCUGUAAUUAUCCGGCGUGCCGAACACCACAUCUAGUGUGAUUUUUCCUGUACAGCACGCUUCCUGACUGGGGAUUAUUCCUCUAAAGGUUGUGCUGCUUCGCUCAAUGCGGUUCCAGUCUAUUUCCAUUUUUUGAAGGGUUUCCUCAUAAAUGAGGUUCAAUCCGCUGCCUCCAUCCAUGAGUACCUUGGUAAGGCGAAAGCCGUCCACUAUUGGACUGAGGACCAAUGUGGCUGGUGCUCGGGCUGUUCGGAAUUUAGGUUCAUCACUGGCAUUAAAAGUAAUAGCCGUGUCACUCCAUGGGUUUAUUGUUGCUACUUGGUAGACUUCGGCAAGGCUGCGGAGUGUUCUUUUUCGCAUAUUAUUUGAUGCGGAAGUCUCGAAGACUGUUAAUACCGUACCGGUAUCCCUGGGGUGGCUUUCUAUGGCCUCCGGAAUUAGGAGAUCUUUGCCAAUUUUGGCCACCUGCCGGAGUAUCCAACAUGCUCUAAGGCUGUGAGUUGGUGUGGCGCCCUCUGUACUGUGAAUUUUACAGGGUCGAUUAAGCCAUCCUUCCAAUACGCUUCCAUGCCCUGUAGAGGAUUUUUGCUUUUUGGUGUUUAACCCGGGUGUCUGGCGAAGAUGCACCCUUUUAUUUUGGACUGGGUUUGUAUUCAGGGCCGGAUUGUCCCAAAAUUUUAUUUUGGUUUUCCAGUCGCUAUCCAUCGCAUAGUACUUUCGUACUAUGGACGCCAAGUCAGCGAAGCAUGUAAUAUCACGGCGACUUAUGGCGUUGAGGAUUCCCUUGUCCGUGCAAUUAUUGCAGAAGAAUGAGAUUGCGUCUUCCUCGCGGCAGUCCUUGAUCCUGUUCAUAGCCAGGAGGAAUCUGGCCCAGUAAUGAUGUACUGUUUCUUCGGGCUUUUGCCUAAUUUGGGAUAGAUCGCUUAUGUUCGGGUGGGUGGGUGGAAUUAAAUCCGAAAACUGACCCGAUAUGAGACUCAGAGGCCAAGGAGUUUCCGAACUCGGAAGUUUGGAUUCUUGGAUGUUGUCCAAUGAGUCUAGCCCGUCGCCUGACUCUAAGUUCAGGUCUUGAGUGAUGUCCUCCCUUCCGCGGGUAUCCGGCUUGGAGGGAUCGGGAAUCCAGACGUAACUAGUCCUUAAGAUAGAUGAAGGGUCGCCGCACUGUCCCUCUACCAUAGCAAUGUGAUGGGUGACCUGGGGAGAGUUAAUCUCUCUUAGAUCGGGUUUAGGCCCAAUCUGGUCAUAAUCCGUGGCGACUCCCAGGGCGGCGAUGCGAUCCAAGAGCUCGUUUAUGGAAGAGAGCUCCAUUGGAUCUAACUGCUCGGCGAGUUCCGAGCUGACAUGAAUACUGCUUUUGAUGACCCGAGAGGUCAUCGUCGGCGCAGCAGCCGAACAGGCGGUCAUAAGAAAACCGCCUAGCCGGAGAGUUUGGCCGACAGCCAAAGCUCCCUUAGCAACGGUUCCGUCUUUAAAGACGGGAUGAGGCAUCCUUCCUGAUGGCGACGGCACAGAGGAACUCUCAAUGAAAGCACCAAUGUCGGUGUCAAAACCGGCGGAUCUCGGGUAGGGGGUCCCGAACUGUGCGUCUAGGCGGAUGGUAACAGGAGACAAGGGACACGAUGUUUACCCAGGUUCGGGCCCUCUCGAUGGAGGUAAAACCCUACUCCUGCUUGAUUAAUAUUGAUGAUAUGGGUAGUACAAGAGUAGAUCUACCACGAGAUCAAGGAGGCUAAACCCUAGAAGCUAGCCUAUGGUAUGAUUGUUGUUGUCCUACGGACUAAAACCCUUCGGUUUAUAUAGACACCAGAGAGGGUUAGGGUUACACAGAGUCGGUUACAAUGGUAGGAGAUCUACAUAUCCGUACCACCAAGCUUGCCUUCCACGCCAAGGAAAGUCCCUUCCGGACAUGGGACGAAGUCUUCAAUCUUGUAUCUUCAUAGUCCGGGAGUCCGGCUGAAGGUAUAGUCCGGCUAUCCAGACACCCCCUAAUCCAGGACUCCCUCACCCAGGUUUUCAGCCAAGAUUAUAACUAACCAUGUCGACAAUAACUCUUAAACAUUAUAUUAACUCUUAUGAGUAGAGGCCGCGGGAAAAAGCCUAGUAGUAGCGCGGAUAAAAGACUAGUAGUAGUGCGGGUGCCCGUGCUACUACUACGGCGCUACAGCUAACUCGUAGUAGUAGCGCAGGUGCCACCCGCGCUACUAGUACGUGUGUUAGUAAUAGCGCGGAUUCUACACACGCUACUAUUAACUAUCUGUAGCGCCUGUCUGUGACCCGCGCUACUACUAUUAAUUUCAAAAACCAAAAAAAAAAUCUCGACCCCGUGCAUGUUGUCAAUGGUGUCAUUGAUUCGAUCCAGCGACAACAAGGGUUGCCGGAGGUGUGGACGGGUAGUGGCAGACCAGAUCCGGCGAUGGCUGUUGGAGAUGGCCGGAUCCAGUGUAGAGCAAGACGACGGUGUGAGGAUCCUCUUCGCGGUCAAGGCGGAGAACUCCUGGUUGGCCAUGUCGACGACCUGUGCAGGCAUGGGCAUGGGAGGUGAGUAAAACCAAAGGGAGAGGGAGAGGAGAGGGAGAGGGAAAAAGAGAAACAAGGGAGAAAGGAGGGAGAUGGAGGGUGUAUCGGGGCUGCAUGGAGGCGAGGAGGAAGACGGGCGAGCUCUUGGAUGCCAGCGAUGCGAGGAGGAAGACGUUGGGUGCCAUGGAGGAGGAGAUAUUCUUGGGCAGGAGCACCAUGGAGAGAGGGGGAAAGUGAGGGAGAGAGGAGGAAAGUGAGAGAGGGGGAAAGUGAGGGAGAGAGGAGGGAUUCGGCCGAGGAUAUGGAGAUUUCACCUACCUCGUACUUAGUAGUAGCGAGGGGUAUAAAACCGCGCUACUACUAUCAACAUAGUAGUAGCAUGGGUUUGUACCCCUCGCUACUACUAUGGCAUGUCCCGGGAGGGCACGGUAGACACCGCUUAGUAGUAGCGAGGGUGAAAAACCCGCGCUAAUAGUAUCAACUUAGUAGUAGCGAGGGGUAAAAACCCGUGCUACUAGUAAGUAGCAGUAGCGACGGUUAUAAACCCGUGCUACUAGUAAGCGUCUGCCUAUAAGCUUUUCCCUAGUAGUGGCAUAUCUAUGACAUAAUCAACUAGCGAGCAAUAAUAAGAUAUCUCAAACAACAACACGUUGUGAAAACAACCAUGAUAUAAUAUGACAAUAGUGGUAUCUCGCUAGCCCUUUCUAAGACCGCAAAACAUAAAUGUAGAGCACCUCCAAAGUUCAAGCAGCGACCAAACAUUGUAAUUCAUGGUAGAAAAGAUCUAGUCAUGAUGCACCCAACAUUAGCAACACAUAGUGCAUCAGCAUGUCAACAGUGCUCUCUGGAUUUGGCACUUAUUUUAGAAGGUGAUGACACAACAUAAAAGUAAAUAGAUAGUCCCUUCGCAGAGGGAAGCAGUGAUUUGCAGCGGUGCCAGAGCUCAAAAUUUAAAAAUAGAGGUAAAUGAAAUUUUGGGAAAUUGAUACGUCUCCAACGUAUCUAUAAUUUUUUAUUGUUCCAUGCUAUAUUAUAUUAUGUUUUGGAUGUUUAAUGGGCUUAUUUAUACACUUUUAUAUUAUUUUUGGGACUAACCUAUUAACCGGAGGCCCAGCCCAUAUUGUUGUUUUUGUUCCUAUUUCAGUGUUUCGCAAAAAAAAGAAUAUCAAACGGAAUGAAACCUUCGGGAACAUGAUUUUUAAAACAAACGUGAUUCAGAGGACUUGGAGUCCAUGUCAAGCAGUCAAUGAGGAGGGCACGAGGCAGGGGGCGCUCCUACCUCCCCCUAGGCGCGCCCUCCACCCUCAUGGGGCCCACGUUGCUCCACCGACGUACUUCUUCCUCCUAUAAUACCUACGUACCCCCAAACCAUCAGGGGCAUCCACGAAAACCUAAUUCCACCGCCGCAACCUUCUGUACACGUGAGAUCCCAUCUUGGGGCCUUUUCCGGCGUCCUGCCGAAGGGGGCAUUGAUCACGGAGGGCUUCUACAUCAACACCAUAGCCACUCCGAUGAUGUGUGAGUAGUUUACCUCAGACUUUCGGGUCCAUAGUUAUUAGCUAGAUGGCUUCUUCUCUCUCUUUGGAUCUCAAUACAAAGUUCUCCACGAUUCUCGUGGAGAUCUAUUCGAUGUAAUCUUCUUUUGCGGUGUGUUUGUUGGGACCGAUGAAUUGUGGAUUUAUGAUCAAGUUUAUCUAUGAACAAUAUUUGAAUAUCCUCUGAAUUCUUUUAUGUAUGAUUGGUUAUCUUUGCAAGUCUCUUCGAAUUAUCAGUUUGGUUUGGCCUACUAGAUUGAUCUUUCUUGCAAUGGGAGAAGUGCCUAGCUUUGGGUUCAAUCUUAUGGUGUCGUUUCCCAGUGACAGCAGGGGCAGCAAGGCACGUAUUGUAUUGUUGCCAUCGAGGAUAACAAGAUGGGGUUUAUAUCAUAUUGCAUGAGUUUAUCUCUCUACAUCAUGUCAUCUUGCUUAAAGCGUUACUCUGUUCUUAUGAACUUAAUACUCUAGAUGCAUGCUGGGUAGCGAUCGAUGUGUGGAGUAAUAGUAGUAGAUGCAGGCAGGAGUCGGUCUACUUGUCACGGACAUGAUGCAUAUAUACAUGAUCAUACCUAGAUAUUCUCAUAACUAUGCUCAAUUCUAUCAAUUGCUCGACAGUAAUUUUUUCACCCACCGUAAUACUUAUGCUUUUGAGAGAAGCCACUAAUGAAACAUAUGGCCCCCGGGUCUAUUUUCCAUCAUAUUAAUCUUCCAACACAUAGCCUUUUCUAUUGCCCUUUUAUUUUACUUUGCAUCUCUAUUUCUCUUUAUCAUAGAAAUACUAAAAAUAUUAUCUUAUCAUAUCUAUCAGAUCUCACUCUCGUUAGUGACCGUGAAGGGAUUGACAACCCCUUUAUCGCGUUGGUUGCGAGGUUCUUAUUUGUUUUGUGUAGGUGCGUGGGACUUGAGCGUGGCCUCCUACUGGAUUGAUACCUUUGUUCUCAAAACUGAGGGAAAUACUUACACUACUUUGCUGCAUCACCUUUUCCUCUUCAAGGGAAAAACCAACGCAGUGCUCAAGAGGUAGCAAGAAAGAUUUCUGGCGCCGUUGCCGGGAGUUUACGCAAAAGUCAACAUACCAAGUACCCAUCACAAACUCUUAUCCCUUGCAUUACAUUAUUUGCCAUUUGCCUCUCGUUUUCCUCUCCCUCACUUCACCCUUGCCGUUUUGUUCGCCCUCUCUUCCGCUCACCUUUCCUUCGCCAUGUCGGAACCAAAAAGAGUUGGGGGUUCUCUCCCGAGUUUUAGUACUUUGGACGAUCCUUCUAUUCUAUCUAAACUCAUAAAUAAUGUCAUGGUAAAACCUGCCGGAGUUGUCAAUGAGAGUCUUAAUAAUUUUGAUGAAGAUGAUUCCGGAAUUUUUCGUUAUUUACUCGAUGAAUCUUUGAAAGAUGCUUGGGAUAGACUGUUAAGGAUCCGGGCUAACUAUGUGCCCCAAUACCAAAUUGAAGUUUACUUGAAGAGCUUUUAUGUUGCCCUACCUUCUUCGUUUAAGCAUGUCUUAGAUUCUAUAUUUGAAGAAGACUUUCUUGAAGGGGAUGCCGUAGAUACUUAUGAAAAGAUGAAAACCAUAUUUGGGCACCCCAUGAAUGAGAAAAUUAAAUCUACAUCUCUUUUGCUCUCCAGUCCUUGGUUCAUGUAAAUCUGAAUCUAGCCGGCACUACCCCUUCACAAGCUGUUGCAUAGUCUUCAGCGAGGUGCGGCGCAACUUCCGUGUGAGGGGAAAUGAACUUCUCCACGAAUACCUUCUCUCUCACCUUGAAAGCGGUAUAGUAGUAGCCUGGGUUGCACUUGAGCAAUCCAUUUUCCAUGAGAAACUUUACAACGUAGUACCUGGGUUUCAUCCAGCCCUCCAGCUGUAAUUGAUAAUUACUGACCGUUGAGCAAUGUAGGUAGGUUCCAACCCCACCUCAGAGAUGAGGAAAUCAGACCUGCGCUGCAGUAAUUCCUUUGACUUCCUCAGCAGACACGGAGCGUUACGCACAACAAUGCUCACCUCAGCGUCUGACCACCUGAACAUCUUCUUCAAGUAGGCCACAUUGGCGGCGAUCUUCUCCUCGCUGAGGAAUCUGACAGCAUCCAACGUGUGUCUGAACAUCCUGAGCCACGAGGCAUGCCAAGGCCUUCGGCGCAUGCCACCAUCGCCCUGACGCGUUCUGGCUUGUUGCUCAGGACACCCCGCGCGCGGAGGGACAAUUUGGUGAUAUCGCAAUCAUCUAGCCCGCAUUGCCGUAGGAGCGCGACGUUGGGUUUGACCAUCCCGUCGAUGUCAGCGCCGGCGAGGUAGCCUUGCUUGAGCACCCGGAAGAGGUUCUCCGAGGAGCUGAAUAGGAGCAGGUAGUACCGCAACUUGGAAACAAUGGACCUGGAACAGAAGUGGGCGAAGGAGAGCGCGACGAGGCGCACGAUCUCAGUACGCGAGAGGCCGAGGCCGGUGAGCCCACGACGACGGGGGCUAGAGUUUUCUCUACUUUGGCGCAGAGGAACAACGGGUCUUUGGCGACGAGGGCGGCGACGUCGGUGCCGGAGAGGCCGAGGCCGGCGAGGAAGGAAAGGACGGCGUCGGGCUUGGACGGAGACUUGAGGUGGGAGAGCUUGGCGGAGGCCUUGAGUGCCUGGGGUCGGGUGAGGCCGCAGGUGGAGACGAGGUAGUCGUCGACGACGAAGCUAGGGUUUGGGGAAACGCCGGGCGCGGCGGCCGCGGAGAGGGGGCGGUGGAGAGGGGGGCCUGAGAGGUGGCGGGGGAAGAGAGGAGCCGCACGAGGAUGCAGCCACGGAGGCGGAGCAUGGCGGCGGUGGCGGCGGAGAGAUUGAUUCCCUAUGGAGGCGGGUGCGAAUGGGAUGGUGCUUCGGAGGCGGGGAUGCGGCGCCCUGGCGAGGCAGGUGAGGAACGGAGGAAGAGAACAGGAGGAGAGAUCGAAGAGGAUGGCACUUCGGCGGCGCCGCCGAAGAGAUUUUCCGGUCCGCUGUGAGUGGAGAGGAAAAAUGGGAAAUGGCAGGUGCGAUGCGAAUGGAGGCUCCGCAAAUUGCAAUAUCACUGAAUCCCAGGGGUCUUUACGUCUUUCAAAAAUACAAACUACAUUUAAAAAACAUACAUAAUACAUUGAGCCUCAUGGAAACUUUCAUAUACACAUGGAAAAUAGAUAUCCCCUCCGUUCAAUAACGUAGUGCGUAUAGAUUUUCGAAAGUCAGACUUUGCAAAAUAUGAUCAAAUUUAUAAAGAAAACUACUUAUACCUACAUUAUCAAAUAUAUAAAAUAUGAACCUACGUCUUGUCUUAUGAUGAACCUAAUGAUAUAUGUUUGACAUCUAGAUGUAAAUGUUUUUCUUCACAAACUUGGUCAAAUUUUGUUAGGUUUGACUUUUCAAAAAAUCUGUAUGCAAUCAUUAUGCAAUCGGUAUAAUAAGGAAAAUGGCUUUGAGAGAUAAGAUUAUAUCACAAAAUAAGUUAUUAUACGACUUGUACUUAUCUUGUGAUUUUUUUGUAGGUAUAGUACUUCCUCCAUUUUUAUUUACUCUGCAUAUUAGAGUUGACUGAAGUCGAACUUCGUAAAGUUUGACCAAGUUUAUAAAAAAUAUAUAAAUAUUUACCCUAACAAAUCUAUAUGAUACGAAAGUACGUUCAAUAAUGAAUAUAAUGGUAUUGAUUUGUUAUUGUACAAGUUAAUAUUUUUGACUAUAAACUUUGUCAAAAUUUAUAAAGCUUGACUUUGACUAAAACUAAUAUGGAGAGUAAAUAAAAACGAAGGGAGUAAAUGGCUAUGCUUUUUUUAUAGGUAGUAAAUGGUUACUUUUUUCCGAUUUUUUUAAAUGGUUAUGCUUGCUAAUCAAUCCAAUCCAAAUUAUAUGUCGCUCAAACAGAUGUAUCUAAUUAAUAUGGAUUGGAUGGAGCAGAAAAGUUCAUACGGAUAUAUAUUUUCUCAAAACUUGAAAGUAUGAUUUCUACAAGUAAAAAAAAUCAUAUGUGAACUAUGUUUGUUUUUAGCAUUUUGUGUGUGUUCAUGUUUUUCUCUCUCUCUCUCUCUCUCUCUCUUCAUUCUAGCCUCUUUUCCCCCACCUCACUCUGUUCUCACAUUGACAUUGUUGCCUUUUUCAACGGACUCCUACUUAUCUUUUCUAAAUUUUGCAAGGUGAGAAUUGAGAAGGUUAUUAUUCUUUAGUUUUAUGUGUAUAGCUAUAUUAGAGUUGAGAUCAAUUGCAUCGUGUCCACAAAUCCUCUAUAACACUAAGCUCCCUAGUUUUAAAAAGCCCACACUCAAUUAAGGUCUCUAAUUAGAAUUGGAUCAUCCAAUUUUGAUCGGGUCUACAAUUUCUCAAAGCUUCACAAUCCAAUUCUUUUAUACUAUACAAUAUGCUUCCUAAUUUUUAAGGCCUCAUAAUUAUUAAGGUAUUUAAUAUAGGUUGAUCAUCCAAUUUUGACUGGGUCAACAAUUUCUCAACCUCUUCAAUUGAAUUUUUUUAAUUCACUAUGUUCCAAAAUUUUGAAUCUCUUUCAUUCAAUUGAGGUAUUCAAUUUUGAUUUGGUUGACGAUUUUGACUGGGCCAAUGAUUUUCAAAUCAAUCAGCUGCAACUGACCUAUAAAAACAUAUCAAUCCCAUGCACCCCUCCCACCACAUAGAAAAAAGAAGCGUCACCAUAUGAUAUUGUAGUAUCAAUAUAGUACAUGCAACCACCGAUGCAGAAAUUUUCCCACAUAAAUAUAGGUUGGUUAGCGGAUGACACAGUCAUCUCCCCACCCGCCUAACUUAAUAUUCCAUCAGUUACUCCCUCCGUUCCACAAUGUAGCGCAUAUAAAUUUUUCUAGAAGUCAAACUUUAUAAACUUUGACCAAGUUUGUAGAGAAAAUCAUAUACAUCUAGAAUACCAAAUACGUGUGCUUAGAUACAUCACAACACAUACUUUCAUAUUAUAUACAUUUGGUAUUGUAGAUAUAAAUAGUUUUCUCUAUAAAAUUGGUCAAAGUUUAUAAAGUUUGACUUUGUAGAAAAUCUAUAUGCGCUACAUUAUGGAACGGAGGGAGUAUAAAAUAUGAAGGGUAUUAAUUUUGUAGAAAGUCAAACUUCUUUAACUUUGACCAACUUCAGAGCAAAAAUAUCAACAUCCACAAUAUUAAACAAAAAAAGUAUGGAAAUUCAUUUCGUGAUGAAUCUAAAAAUACUGAUUUAAUCUUAUGAAUUUUGAUAUAUUUCUCUACAAAUUUGAUGAAACUUAAAAGGUUUGAUUUUAAAAAAUAUAAUACACAUUAUAUUGGGAAACAGAGUGAUUAGUUUUUUAAGAUAUCCAACAACAUGAACGGCGCAGCAAAGCGCGCACAACCCUUCUAGUUAGUAGUAUAUCUAAGAACAAUUGGCAUCCCAUUGAUGAUCGAUCAACCUUCUUAGUCCAGCUAGUGGCUGGUCGUCUAGAGAUCUAUAUGGAGUCAGUUGAGAUGCGAUGGUCAGCCAAGUGGGUUGAUCAAUGCUCCUCUUAAAAUUCGAAGCCUAAAGUAGAUGUGCUACUCGAGAAAUAAAAAGACCAACGUAGACCGUACUAACAUCUAAUAUUUGACGUCACAUUUGAAUUUGAUACUAUUCACAUCCAUAAUUGUCCCUUUGCUCAUCGAAUUAUGAAUCUUAUAUAAAUGUUGUAAAUGAUCAAUUUUAUAAUAAUUUUAGGGUUGUAGUUCGGUGCAUAGGUAGCUCAGAGGAACCAUAGCCGUCACUUCCUCUCCAAAAAAGCUUAGGGUUCCUAUGCGGCCAUGCCUCCCGUGGCGCCGCUGCCGGUCCACCUCGUCUCCGGUGGCCCUAGGGCCAUGGGGACACGGUGGAUCUCAUCCCUUACCAGCGGGAGGGCUUCGUUUUUAAAUAUUUCUUUGAAUUUUGUUAGGGUUGUGUCCUGCUAAAGAGGAUAAGACAACGACGGCUUCGUGAAGAUUGAAUAAGGUUCUUCCCGCCUAGCCCCCGUCUCGAUGGCGCAUCUAACAUCGUCGGAGAGUGUGUGGAGGUGUGUCUCCGGCGGAUCUCACAGGAUUCGGUAGGUGGUUUGUCUUUGGUGGAUCUACUCGGACCCGGUCUUCGUUCGUCUACAUUUGUCUGUCAUUAGAUUGGAUCCUUCCGAUCUAUGGGUCUCAUCAUCGGCGGGGGUUACUAUUCUAUUGCGCUGGUCCUACGAGGCCUUAGCACGACAAGUUCCCGGCUGUCUACUACAAUAAGUUCUGCCCGGCUCCGGCGAGGGAAGGGCGAUGACAACGGCGCGUCUUCGGCUCGCUUUAAUGCUUGUAGUCUUUGCUAGAUGGUCUACGGAUGGAUGCGAUUUUUAUUAUUCCUAUUGUUCAUUGUAUUGUCAUGAUUGAAAAUAAAAAGAUCGAAAGAUUUCUCACAGAUAAGAAGCUCAGAAGAACCAUUAAAAGGACAAUCGUGUGGUCUCCCUAGAUGGUCCUUGGAGGGAGCGAUGUAAUUUCAUUUCCUUUUUAUUGCAUUCUCAUGAAUCUACGGGAUACACAGAUUUGGAAUAGCCAUGCGUUAUAUAGGUUUGGAAAAGAUGAAUGGGCAGGACAAAGCCCAUCAAGGUCCAGAGUUGAACAUGGUAUUUUUCUCUUCCCUGAUCUUGUGUGGUUGUUACAUUACAACGAGGACUAGAUGCAUUCAUUAACCUGAGGAGACUAUAUACGGUGAUUAUAUCGUGGUUAUCAUAUUUACCUAUUUUACAAAGAAUGAUCGGAUAUAAUUUACUGGUACAAUCCAUUGUGUGCCUUUCACGCUUCCGUCAGUUUAGUUUCCUCACACUUUAAGUAGUCUUGUGAAGUUGUGAUCAGGUAGCUCGCAAUCCAAAUUUCUGUAAUGAAUAUUUUUUUUUGGUCCAACGAGUAAAACGUAGACUUGGUGACCCUCAAAAGGGAUGAUAUUUUACAUAACGAGUAAAUCAUGAUGUCCUUAGAUAUUUCUUAUGAGUAUUUCUUCUUUUCUGCGGAAAAGUUUCUUGUCUUCCGAACUCUUGGAUGUGGGCAGAACUCUUGAUGAGCCGAGGCACCCGCAGCAUGCCAUUGUGAGUCAAGUUUGCCAUUGUUUGAUGGGAAGUUUUCAAGUGCUACAUGUAGAAGGACGCUAUAGUGGCUGCAAUCUUGCUGCUAAGUGACACGUACUGUCACCCUGUUUCUAAUGAAAAAAACUGAAGAACAAUGACUCAUUUAAACAUUGUUCAAUUUUGUGGUUCAUGAUGUUGGAAAUAUGCCCUAGAGGCAAUAAUAAAAGUAUUAUUAUAUUUCAAUGUUCAUGAUAAAUGUCUUUUAUUCAUGCUAUAACUGUAUUAUCCGGAAAUCGUAAUACACGUGUGAAUACUUAGACCACAAUAUGUCCCUGGUGAGCCUCUAGUUGACUAGCUCGUUGUGAUCAACAGAUAGUCAUGGUUUCUUGACUAUGGACAUUGGAUGUCGUUGAUAACGGGAUCACAUCAUUAGGAGAAUGAUGUGAUGGACAAGACCCAAUCCUAAGCAUAGCAUAAAAGAUCGUGUAGUUCGUUUUGCUAGAGCUUUGCCAAUGUCAAGUAUCUCUUCCUUCGACCAUGAGAUCGUGUAACUCCCGGAUACCGUAAGAGUGCCUUGGGUGUAUCAAACGUCACAACGUAACUGGGUGACUAUAAAGGUGCAUUACAGGUAUCUCCGAAAGUAUCUGUUGGGUUGACACGGAUCGAGACUGGGAUUUGUCACUCCGUAUGACGGAGAGGUAUCUCUGGGCCCACUCGGUAAUGCAUCAUCAUAAUGAGCUCAAUGUGACCAAGGUGUUGGACACGGGAUCAUGCAUUACGGUACGAGUAAAGUGACUUGCCGGUAACGAGACUGAACAAGGUAUUGGGAUACCGACGAUCGAGUCUCGGGCAAGUAACGUACUGAUUGACAAAGGGAAUUGUAUACAGGGUUUGAUUGAAUCCUUGACAUCGUGGUUCAUCCGAUGACAACAUCGAGGAGCAUGUGGGAGCCAUCAUGGGUAUCCAGAUCCCGCUGUUGGUUAUUGACCUGAGAGCAUCUCGGUCAUGUCUGCAUGUCUCCCGAACCCGUAGGGUCUACACACUUAAGGUUCGGUGACGCUAGGGUUAUUAGGAAGACUAGUAUGUGACUACCGAAUAUUGUUCGGAGUUCCGGAUGGGAUCCUGGACGUCACGAGGAGCUCCGGAAGGGUCCGAAGGUAAAGAUUUAUAUAUGGGAAGUUGUCAAACGGGCACCGGGAAGUUUCGGGGUCAUACCGGUAUUGUACCGGGGCCACCGGAAGGGUUCCGGGGGUCCACCGGGAGGGGCCACCCCUCCCGGGGGGGCACAUGGGCUGCGUGGGGCAGGGAGCCAGCCCCUGGUGGGCUGGGCGCACCCCCUCCCUUGGGCCCUUGCGCCUAGGGUUGAGGGGGGAACCCUAGAGGGGGCGCCCCCUUGGCUUGGGGGGCAAGCCACCCUCUCCCCCUCUCCCCUUGGCCGCCGCACCCCCCUAGAUGGGUUCUAGGGGGCCGGCCCCCUUCUCCCUUCCCCCAACAAAUAGAGGGGUGAGGGGAGGGCAGCCGCACCACCCUCCAAGGCGCAGCCCUCCCCUCCCCAACACCUCUCCUCCUCUGUUGUGUGCUUGGCGAAGCCCUGUCGGAGUACUGCCUCUCCACCAUCACCACGCCGUCGUGCUGCCGGUGGAGCUGUCUUCCUCAACCUCUCCUCCCCCCUUGCUGGAUCAAGAAGGAGGAGACGUCUCCCGUCCCGUACGUGUGUUGAACGCGGAGGUGCUGUCCGUUCAGCACUUGGUCAUCGGUGAUUCGAAUCACGUCGAGUACGAUUCCAUCAUCACCUUGCAAGCUUCCGCACGCGAUCUACAAGUGGUAUGUAGAUGCAAACUCACUCCCUUGACUCGUUGCUUAGAUGAACUCAUAGAUGGAUCUUGGUGAAACCGUAGGAAAAAUUUUAAUUUUCUGCAACGUUCCCCAACAGUGGCAUCAUGAGCCAGGUUUAUGCGUAGUUCUCUUUGCACGAGUAGAACACAAUUUUGUUGUGGGCGUGGAUUUUGUCAUCUUACUUGCCUCUACUAGUCUUUUCUUGCUCAACGGUAUUGUGGGAUGAAGCGGCCCGGACCAACCUUACACGUACGCUUACGUGAGACCGGUUCCACCGAGUGACAUGCACUAGUUGCAUAAGGUGGCUGGCGGGUGUCUGUCUCUCCCACUUUAGUUGGAGCGGAAUCGAUGAACAGGGCCCUUAUGAAGGGUAAAUAGAAGUUGACAAAAUCACGUUGUGGUGAUUCGUAGGUAAGAAAAUGUUCUUGCUAGAACCCAAUUGCAGCCACGUAAAAGAUGCAACAACAAUUAGAGGAUGUCUAACUUGUUUUUGCAGCGAUUGAUCAUGUGAUGUGAUAUGGCCAGAAGUUGUGAUGAAUGAUGAAUUGUGAUGUAUGAGAUCAUGUUCUUUGUAAUAGGAUUCACGACUUGCAUGUCGAUGAGUAUGACAACCGGCAGGAGCCAUAGGAGUUGUCUUUAUUUUUUGUAUGACCUGCAUGUCAUUGAAUAACGCCAUGUAAACUACUUUACUUUAUUGCUAAACGUUAGUCAUAGAAGUAGAAGUAGUCGUUGGCGUGACAACUUCAUGAAGACACGAUGAUGGAGAUCAUGAUGAUGGAGAUCAUGGUGUCAAGCCGGUGACAAGAUGAUCAUGGAGCCCCGAAGAUGAAGAUCAAUGGAGCUAUAUGAUAUUGGCCAUAUCAUGUCACAACUAUAUAAUUGCAUGUGAUGUUUAUUAUGUAUUAUGCAUCUUGUUUACUUAGGACGACGGUAGUAAAUAAGAUGAUCCCUUAUAAAAUUUCAAGAAGUGUUCUCCCCUAACUGUGCACCGUUGCUACAGUUCGUCGCUUCUAAGCAACACGUGAUGAUCGGGUGUGAUGGAUUCUUACGUUCACAUACAACGGGUGUAAGACAGUUUUACACAGCGAAAACACUUAGGGUUAACUUGACGAGCCUAGCAUGUGCAGACAUGGCCUCGGAACACGGAGACCGAAAGGUCGAACACGAAUCGUAUGGAAGAUACGAUCAACAUGAGAAUGUUCACCGACGAUGACUAGUCCGUCUCACGUGAUGAUCGGACACGGGCUAGUCGACUCGGAUCGUGUAACACUUAGAUGACUAGAGGGAUGUCUAAUCUAAGUGGGAGUUCAUAAUUUGAUUAGAACUUUAUUAUCAUGAACUUAGUCUAAAACCUUUGCAAAUAUGUCUUGUAGAUCAAUGGCCAACGCUAAUGUCAACAUGAACUUCAACGCGUUCCUAGAGAAAACCAAGCUGAAAGAUGAUGGCAGCAACUAUACGGACUGGGUCCGGAACCUGAGGAUCAUCCUCAUAGCUGCCAGGAAACAAUAUGUCCUAGAAGGACCGCUAGGUGACGCUCCCGUCGCAGAGAACCAAGACAUUAUGAAUGCUUGGCAGUCUCGUGCUGAUGAUUACUCCCUCGUUCAGUGCGGCAUGCUUUACAGCUUAGAACCGGGGCUCCAAAAGCGUUUUGAGCAUCACGGAGCAUAUGAGAUGUUCGAAGAGCUGAAACUAGUUUUCCAAGCUCAUGCCCGGGUCGAGAGAUAUGAUGUCUCCGACAAGUUCUACAGUUGUAAGAUGGAGGAAAAUAGUUCUGUCAGUGAGCACAUCCUGAAGAUGUCUGGGUUGCACAACCGUAUGACCCAGCUGAACAUUAACCUCCCAGAUGAGGCGGUCAUUGACAGAAUCCUCCAGUCGCUCCCACCAAGCUACAAGAGCUUUGUGAUGAACUACAACAUGCAGGGGAUGGAAAAGACCAUUCCUGAAGUGUUCUCGAUGCUGAAGUCAGCAGAGGCUGAAAUCAAGAAAGAACAUCAAGUGUUGAUGGUCAAUAAGACCACUAAGUUCAAGAAGGGCAAGGGUAAGAAGAACUUCAAGAAGGACGGCAAGGAGGUUGCCGCGCCUGGUAAGCCAGUUACCGGGAAGAAGUCAAAGAAUGGACCUAAGCCUGAGACUGAGUGUUUUUAUUGCAAGGGGAAGGGUCACUGGAAGCGGAACUGCCCCAAAUACUUAGCGGAUAAGAAGGCCGGCAACACCAAAGGUAUAUUUGAUAUACAUGUGAUUGAUGUGUACCUUACUAGUACUCGUAGUAACUCCUGGGUAUUUGAUACCAGUGCCGUUGCUCAUAUUUGUAACUCACAGCAGGAGCUGCGGAAUAAACGGAGACUGGCGAAGGACGAGGUGACGAUGCGCGUCGGGAAUGGUUCCAGAGUCGAUGUGAUCGCCGUCGGCACGCUGCCUCUACAUUUACCUACGGGAUUAGUUUUGAACCUGAAUAAUUGUUAUUUAGUGCCAAGUUUGAGCAUGAACAUUGUAUCUGGAUCUCGUUUAAUACGAGAUGGCUACUCAUUUAAGUCUGAGAAUAAUGGUUGUUCGAUUUAUAUGAGAGAUAUGUUUUAUGGUCAUGCUCCGAUGGUCAAUGGUUUAUUCUUAAUGAAUCUCGAGCGUAAUAUUACACAUGUUCAUAGUGUAGAUGCCAAAAGAUUUAAAGUUGAUAACGAUAGUCCCACAUACUUGUGGCACUGCCGCCUUAGUCACAUUGGUGUCAAGCGCAUGAAGAAGCUCCAUGCCGAUGGACUUUUAGAGUCUCUUGAUUAUGAAUCGUUUGACACGUGCGAACCAUGCCUCUUGGGCAAAAUGACCAAGACUCCGUUCUCCGGAACAAUGGAGCGAGCAACCAACUUGUUGGAAAUCAUACAUACCGAUGUGUGCGGUCCAAUGAGCGUUGAGGCUCGCGGAGGAUAUCGUUAUGUUCUCACUCUCACUGAUGACUUGAGUAGAUAUGGGUAUGUCUACUUAAUGAAACACAAGUCUGAGACCUUUGAAAAGUUCAAAGAAUUUCAGAAUGAGGUAGAGAAUCAACGUGACCGAAAGAUAAAAUUCUUACGAUCAGAUCGUGGAGGAGAAUACUUAAGUCACGAAUUUGGUACACACUUAAGGAAAUGUGGAAUCGUUUCACAACUCACGCCGCCUGGAACACCUCAGCGAAACGGUGUGUCCGAACGUCGUAAUCGCACUCUAUUGGAUAUGGUGCGGUCUAUGAUGUCUCUUACCGAUUUACCGCUAUCAUUUUGGGGAUACGCUCUAGAGACAGCUACAUUCACUUUAAAUAGGGCACCGUCUAAAUCCGUUGAGACGACACCGUAUGAAUUAUGGUUUGGAAAGAAACCUAAGAUGUCGUUUCUAAAAUUUUGGGGAUGCGAUGCUUAUGUCAAGAAACUUCAACCUGAAAAGCUCGAACCCAAGUCGGAAAAAUGCGUAUUCAUAGGAUACCCUAAGGAAACUGUCGGGUAUACCUUCUACUUAAGAUCCGAAGGCAAGAUCUUUGUUGCCAAGAACGGAUGCUUUCUGGAAAAAGAGUUUCUCUCGAAAGAAGUAAGUGGGAGGAAAGUAGAACUCGAUGAAGUACUACCUCUUGAGCGGGAAAGUGGCGCAGCGCAGGAAACCGUUUCUGUGAUGCCCACACCAACUGAAGAGGAAAACAAUGAUGAUGAUCAAGGUACUUCGGAUCAAGUUACUAUUGAACUUCGUAGGUCCACAAGGACACGUUCCGCACCAGAGUGGUACGGCAACCCUGUCCUGGAAAUCAUGUUGUUGGACAACAAUGAACCUUCGAACUAUGAAGAAGCGAUGGCGGGCCCGGAUUCCAACAAAUGGCUUGAAGCCAUGAAAUCCGAGAUAGAAUCCAUGUAUGAAAACAAAGUAUGGACUUUGACAGACUUGCCCGAUGAUCGGCGAGCGAUAGAAAACAAAUGGAUUUUUAAGAAGAAGACGGACGCGGAUGGUAAUGUUACAAUCUAUAAGGCUCGACUUGUCGCUAAGGGUUAUCGACAAGUUCAAGGGAUUGACUACGACGAGACUUUCUCUCCUGUAGCGAAGCUGAAGUCCGUUCGAAUCAUGCUAGCAAUUGCCGCAUACUAUGAUUAUGAGAUAUGGCAGAUGGACGUCAAAACAGCAUUCCUUAACGGGCAUCUUAAGGAAGAACUGUAUAUGAUGCAGCCGGAAGGUUUUGUCGAUCCUCGGAACGCUAACAAAGUAUGCAAGCUCCAGCGAUCCAUUUAUGGACUGGUGCAAGCAUCUCGGAGUUGGAACAUUCGCUUUGAUGAGAUGAUCAAAGCGUUUGGGUUUAUGCAGACUUAUGGAGAAGCCUGCGUUUACAAGAAAGUGAGUGGGAGCUCUGUAGCAUUUCUCAUAUUAUAUGUAGAUGACAUACUCUUGAUGGGAAACAAUAUAGAAUUUCUGGACAGCAUUAAGGCCUACUUGAAUAAGUGUUUUUCAAUGAAGGACCUUGGAGAAGCUGCUUAUAUAUUAGGCAUCAAGAUCUAUAGAGAUAGAUCGAGACGCCUCAUAGGUCUUUCACAAAGCACAUACCUUGAUAAGAUUUUGAAGAGGUUCAAAAUGGAUCAGUCCAAGAAGGGGUUCUUGCCUAUGUUACAAGGUGUGAGAUUGAGCUCGGCUCAGUCACCGACCACGGCAAAAGAUAAAGAAGAGAUGAGUGUCAUCCCCUAUGCUUCAGCCAUAGGAUCUAUUAUGUAUGCCAUGCUGUGUACCAGACCCGAUGUAAACCUUGCCGUAAGUUUGGUAGCAAGAUACCAAAGUAAUCCCGGCAAGGAACACUGGACAGCGGUCAAGAAUAUCCUGAAGUACCUGAAAAGGACGAAGGACAUGUUUCUCGUUUAUGGAGGAGACGAAGAGCUCGUCGUAAAGGGUUACGUCGACGCUAGCUUCGACUCAGAUCUGGAUGACUCUAAGUCACAAACCGGAUACGUGUAUAUGUUGAAUGGUGGAGCAGUAAGCUGGUGCAGCUGCAAGCUGAGCGUCGUGGCGGGAUCUACGUGUGAAGCGGAGUACAUGGCAGCCUCGGAGGCAGCGCAUGAAGCGAUUUGGGUGAAGGAGUUCAUCACCGACCUAGGAGUCAUACCCAAUGCGUCGGGGCCGAUCAAACUCUUCUGUGACAACACUGGAGCUAUUGCCCUCGCCAAGGAGCCCAGGUUUCACAAGAAGACCAGGCACAUCAAGCGUCGUUUCAACUCCAUCCGUGAAAAUGUUCAAGAUGGAGACAUAGAGAUUUGCAAAGUGCACACGGAUCUGAAUGUCGCAGAUCCGCUGACUAAACCUCUCUCGCGUGCAAAACAUGAUCAACACCAGAACUCUAUGGGUGUUCGAUUCAUCACAAUGUAACUAGAUUGGUGACUCUAGUGCAAGUGGGAGACUGUUGGAAAUAUGCCCUAGAGGCAAUAAUAAAAGUAUUAUUAUAUUUCAAUGUUCAUGAUAAAUGUCUUUUAUUCAUGCUAUAACUGUAUUAUCCGGAAAUCGUAAUACACGUGUGAAUACUUAGACCACAAUAUGUCCCUGGUGAGCCUCUAGUUGACUAGCUCGUUGUGAUCAACAGAUAGUCAUGGUUUCCUGACUAUGGACAUUGGAUGUCGUUGAUAACGGGAUCACAUCAUUAGGAGAAUGAUGUGAUGGACAAGACCCAAUCCUAAGCAUAGCAUAAAAGAUCGUGUAGUUCGUUUUGCUAGAGCUUUGCCAAUGUCAAGUAUCUCUUCCUUCGACCAUGAGAUCGUGUAACUCCCGGAUACCGUAAGAGUGCCUUGGGUGUAUCAAACGUCACAACAUAACUGGGUGACUAUAAAGGUGCUUACAGGUAUCUUCGAAAGUAUCUGUUGGGUUGACACGGAUCGAGACUGGGAUUUGUCACUCCGUAUGACGGAGAGGUAUCUCUGGGCCCACUCGGUAAUGCAUCAUCAUAAUGAGCUCAAUGUGACCAAGGUGUUGGACACGGGAUCAUGCAUUACGGUACGAGUAAAGUGACUUGCCGGUAAUGAGACUGAACAAGGUAUUGGGAUACCGACGAUCGAGUCUCGGGCAAGUAACGUACCGAUUGACAAAGGGAAUUGUAUACAGGGUUUGAUCGAAUCCUUGACAUCGUGGUUCAUCCGAUGACAACAUCGAGGAGCAUGUGGGAGCCAUCAUGGGUAUCCAGAUCCCGCUGUUGGUUAUUGACCUGAGAGCGUCUCGGUCAUGUCUGCAUGUCUCCCGAACCCGUAGGGUCUACACACUUAAGGUUCGGUGACGCUAGGGUUAUUAGGAAGACUAGUAUGUGACUACCGAAUGUUGUUCGGAGUCCCGGAUGGGAUCCUGGACGUCACGAGGAGCUCCGGAAGGGUCCGGAGGUAAAGAUUUAUAUAUGGGAAGUUGUCAAACGGGCACCGGGAAGUUUCGGGGUCAUACCGGUAUUGUACCUGGGCCACCGGAAGGGUUCCGGGGGUCCACCGGGAGGGGCCACCCCUCCCGGGGGGGCCACAUGGGCUGCGUGGGGCAGGGAGCCAGCCCCUGGUGGGUUGGGCGCACCCCCUCCUUUGGGCCCUUGCGCCUAGGGUUGAGGGGGGAACCCUAGAGGGGGCGCCCCCUUGGCUUGGGGGGCAAGCCACCCUCUCCCCCUCUCCCCUUGGCCGCCGCACCCCCCUAGAUGGGUUCUAGGGGGCCGGCCCCCUUCUCCCUUCCCCCAAUAAAUAGAGGGGUGAGGGGAGGGCAGCCGCACCACCCUCCAAGGCGCAGCCCUCCCCUCCCCAACACCUCUCCUCCUCCGUUGUGUGCUUGGCGAAGCCCUGUCGGAGUACUGCCUCUCCACCAUCACCACGCCGUCGUGCUGCCGGUGGAGCUGUCUUCCUCAACCUCUCCUUCCCCCUUGCUGGAUCAAGAAGGAGGAGACGUCUCCCGUCCCGUACGUGUGUUGAACGCGGAGGUGCUGUCCGUUCAGCACUUGGUCAUCGGUGAUUCGAAUCACGUCGAGUACGACUCCAUCAUCACCUUGCAAGCUUCCGCACGCGAUCUACAAGUGGUAUGUAGAUGCAAACUCACUCCCUUGACUCGUUGCUUAGAUGAACUCAUAGAUGGAUCUUGGUGAAACCGUAGGAAAAAUUUUAAUUUUCUGCAACGUUCCCCAACACAUGAGCCUUUUCUUCAAAGUUUACUUAAAAGUUGGGUUAUUAGGUAAAAAAUGGUUCCUUUCCUUUUGUGCUUGCAAUUUAUUGUCCUGACAAAAACACUUUUUAUUGCAGUGCUAAGAAAAUGCGUCUACUACUUGACUGAGCUAAAUACUCUUGAUAGCAAACCCUCUCUGGGCAUAUUCGUAGAUUCAAGGUGAGGAGACAUGCCAGCAUACAGACCAGCCUUAAAAAUAGUCAGAUAAACAUUGCAAGAUGUACAUACAUGGCACAUGUACGAUGUUCUAACAAGAGCAUAAAGUUGAUUGAUUCUUGAUAGCAUCACCUGAAUAUAUCACUCACGGAUUCAUGAAUGUUCCCCGUUGCAAUGCACGGCCAUUCACCUAGUAAAGGCAAUGAUUUGUUGGUAGUAGAGGCAUCUCAUGUUUCAAAGGGUUAAACCUUACCGUCGUGACCCGGCUCCAUGGCUGGGUCAAUCUUGCACCUCUGUUGGUGCCGAACCCUAGGCAAAUUCCCCCAAAUCUCUUGUUGUUUCUAUUGAUUGACCGAAUGUGAGGAGCGAUAGUAGAUCAAUAACUCUCGUAUAACCGAGGGAAAAAGAAAUGAAGAGAAGUUGGCGAAAGUAUCAAGUGGUACAUCUACUUUUUAUAAUAUCACAUGAAGCCGGCAAAAAGGAAAGCCGACCAACGAAGAAACUGCAUAGGGGACCUAUCAUGAGUGAACAUUGCGUGGGCGCCACUGGCCGCAUCUCAUCAUAUUGUUGUGUAGAAGAAGAAAUGACCGCCGAUGCUGCUGGUGCCUCCAUCUCUACGACCUUGCCGUCCAAGCCCGCAAUAGCAACAAACACGUAGCACUAGAGCACGGGAGGAGAGGUGAUCAGGGAAAUUCGUCUUUCUUGAUGGCAGGAUAAUUAGUGAUGGGCGACUCCACGCGACGCUGAUGUGAUUUCAGGCCACACUAAAGGAUGUCGGAGAAGGGGGCCGUAGGACGAACUCAACAACAUCGGUAGUGGGCUUGGUGGAUAUUGUGUCGAGGGCUCGGGGACGCACUCGGUGAAGGUGGUGGACCUCGGGGAGGGGGCCCUCAUACACGUGGAUGCAGGGGAAAAGAGGGUGCACGGGCUUGGAGGCAUUACUCAUCCACCUCUUCUGGCAAAGAGAGCUCAUCGGGGCCAACCGCGUGAAGGAGGAGCUUGAGGUAGCUUGGAGGAGGCGACGACGGCAGCCAGAUCCAUGUGGCAAGCCAGAGUGGAGGCAUCCCACAUGGGAGCAGUGAUUUCAGAGCCUAAGCUUAGAUGCACCUGCUAUUAUGUUUGUUCAUUGCUGCAUGGAGAUUCGGGAAAUGGGGCAUGAGGUUGCAUUGCUAGGGCGUGGAAAAUCCCCAAAACGAACUAUACAUGCAUGAAUAGUGCGAUACAUGUGGGUCUAUCAUGUAGCACACGAGGAGGGUUCGAACGAAGGACAAGCAGUGCCAUCUUGGUUGGAUUCUGAUCCAUGGCACCUAAUCGUCUGCAUUCAUCUAAGUCGUGGCUCACUUUGCUAGCCCGUGGUGUGACUUUGAAACUUUGAAUCCGAGUCAUGGCCUAAAGAUUUGUAUAGCUCCAGUUGGGGCCUGCGGUGUAGGAUCGUCAGUACGCACACCGAAUGUCAUCCACGACCGACAUCGGCCAACAGAUUGCUAGCUUACCAGACGCUACAAGAGGUAGCGUCCUUCGUGAAGUUUGUGUGCUUCAUCACCAACCAGGUCAUCCUAAGCCAUAAUGGACAACCCAUUCAUCUACGUAGUUGACUUCAACACUGGAGACGACUUCUCAUGGUCGUUGAUCAUGUCACACCUUGCUCACCAUGGCAACAAGCUGUUUCAUGUCACGUCACUUGCCACCACAUUAAUGCACCGCACGGAUACGCAUGCACCAACAGUCGUGCAUGGUGUCCGUCGGAGUUCGCGCGCGUCCCUAGGGUCUCCCAUUCCAGUACGAUGAGAAGGACCUCCUGGUCUGGGCUGGAAGUCACGUAAUGGUACCUACAACAAUCUCGAAAAGAGUAGAAGGCCUGGAUUUCAAGAGCAUCUGAGCUCGCACUUAGAAAUCUAUUUUUGUUCCCACGGUCCAUACAUAGAGAGAAACUAGAAAAGAAAACGCAAAACACGCAUACAUGCAUGCAUGCUUCCACAAAUGGGUUACCACAUACCUUUCUAGGAUUCUGGUGACCUCACAUUCAUUGUUGACCCCUUAUGACCUCACAUUCAUGGGAGAGAUUUCCUGAUCUCACAUUGUCUCUAUAAAAGUCUAUCACCUCUACGAAUCAUGUGUCUCCACCAUUUCAAAUCCUCCGCGCGCCUAACAUACCACUUGAGAAAUUACUAAUGGCCAACAGAAAGAAUGUCAUGGCCAUGUUAUUUCUCACCACCAUUGUGGCGGUGGCGGCCACAAGGCCAGCCGAGACCUAUGGCGUUGCGGAGGAGAACACAUUGAAGAUGGCUACCCCCAGCAGGAAAGGGGUUGACGCUACCUUAGCAACUACACGUGUUGUUGCCGCCGAGAAGUCCAUCAAGAAGGCUGAAAGCGUCACCACACCAGAAGAGGCCGCGGCUGCCAAGCAAGAUGGAGCAAAAUCUGCUUCUGCUGCAUUAAAGUACAAUGCCAUCUCUCAGCAGGCAAAUGGUAAAGGUUCUUCUACCUCCCUAGGCAGGAAAGAAGCAGCCAAUACUUUAGCCGCCGCACACUAUGCCGCCACCGAGAAGUCCAUCAAGAAGGCCGAAACCACCAAGACACCUGCAAAGGUCGUGGCUGCCAAGCGAGACGCAGCAAAGUCUGUUGAUGAUGCAUUAAAGUAUGGUGCCAUCUCUCGGAAAGCAGCUGGUACAAGUUCUUCUACCUCCCCCAAUAAGAAAGAAGGCACCACUGAUGCUGCUAAGAUGUUCACCAAGAAGGCUGAAACCGCUACCACACCUGAAGAGGCCGCGGCUGCCAAGCAAGCUGCAGCCAAGUCUACCGCUGCUGCAUCAAAGUAUGGUGUCAUUUCUCAGCAAGUAGCUGGUACAAGUUCUUCUACCUCCCCUAGCAGGAAAGAAGCUGCCGGUACCUUGGCAGAUGCUCGCAUAGCUGCUGCCGAGAAGUCCAUCAAGAAGGCUGAAACCGCCACAAGACCUGAAGAGGCAGCAUCCGCUAAGAAGGAUGCCACAAAAUCCGAGGCUGAUGCAAUGAAGUACGGGGCCAUCUCUCAGCAGGCCGCCGGCAAAAAUGGUGCCUAAGUGGUGCCUUAAACACCUAUUCACACGCAACAUCAUCUACAUACUACCAUGCAUGCAAAAUAGCAGCAUUCAGAUACCACAUUAUGCUAAUUCUCAUGCAUGCACACUUUGUUUAAACGUUCCCAUUACGAAUCAUGUAUUAAUGUCUUGCUUGUUUUAUUUUUAGUAGUAAGACAUGCUUGACUUGCUUUAAAAAAAAUACAACAAUCGAUGUAUACAUGUAUUAUCUAAAAAUCAGUAAUAUGAGUUCCACCGCAAUUUGUUUCUUUUUGUCAUAAUUUGGGUGCAAUCAAUGCACACAUCCAAUACACAAAAUUGGACGACUCAAUGUGUUGUGGCUCCAUGGAGCGGCGAAUCAUGUUUUAUUGUCUUGCUUGUUUUACUUUUAGUAGUAAUGUCUUGCUGGUCAAUGUAUUAUGGCUCCAUGGAGCGGCAUAAUGAUAUAUGAUAUAUCUUCACUACUUCAAAAAGAACUUAAGGUUUCGUCAUACAUCUUUCCUUCAUCCAUCCUCCCUACGAAUCCUUCCUGUUUUGAUUUUUUUCUCCCAUCUUUGAUUUUUCUCCCCAUUGAUUCUACCUAAAAACCACCUCAAUGUCACAUGUUUACUGUAUAUGUCAAGGCCUCCUUUGGUUCAUAGGGUAGAAAAAAACAUAGGAAUAGGAAAGUCAUAGGAAAUGAGAUGACAUGUAUCUCAAAUCCUAUGAUUGGGAAUAGGAAAGGAGAUGCCCUUUGAUUCACAUCAUAGGAUUUUUUCAUUGAAUCUAGGCUAAUGUUUAUUUUCCUAUGAAAUGUGAAGGAGAGGAAGAAUUCCUCCAUAGGAUUAGGAUUCCAUUCCUACAAACCAAAGGACUCUAAAGGAAUUUUUUCUAUAGAAAUCCUAUCCUAUGAAAUUCUUACAAGAUUCCUCCAAAUCAAAGGAGGCCCAAGUGGUUGUGAUGAGACAGUGGCUGGGCACUUCAGAUUUAUUCCCGUAACUGACUGUCAAAUUGAGUCAUCUGUCGUCCUUUCGAUGAUUGUAAGAAAGUUAUAUGUUUACUGUAUGUGCCAAUUGGUUGUGAUUAUCGUUACCGGCCACAAAGUUAUAUUUUCUUGUCUUAACGAAGGGUUGCAUACAAUGCGUGUAGCUCUUGACGCCUGAUAACCCACAAGUAUAGGGGAUCGCAACAGUUUUUGAGGGUAGAGUAUUCAACACAAAUUUAUAGAUUCGACACAAGGGGAGCCAAAGAAUAUUUGUAAGUAUUAACAGCUGAGUUAUCAAUUCAACCACACCUGGAGAUUAAUUAUCUGCAGCAAAGUGAUCAGUAGCAUAGUAGUAUGAUAGUUUUGAUAGUAGUAGCAACAUCAACAGUAACGGUAAUAGUGGUAGCAAUGGUUUUGUAGCAGUGACAAUAGUAACAGCAGCAGUAGUAACUUAGCAAGAACAAUAUGUACGAAAAUCGUACGCAUUGGAUCGGUGAUUUGUUGGAUGAUAUUCAUCAUGUGACAGUUACAACCUAGGACGAUACGGCACUAGCUCCAGUUCAUAAAUAUAAUGUAGGCAUGUAUUCUAUAAAUAAUCAUACGUGCUUAUGGAAAGAACUUGUAUGACAUCUUUUGUCCUACCCUCCUGUGGCAGCGGUGUCCUAUUGGAAACUAAGGGAUAUUAAGGCCUCCUUUUAAUAGAGAACCAGAACAAAGCAUUAACACACGGUGAAUACAUGAACUCCUCAAACUACGGUCAUCACAGGGAAGUGUCCCGACUAUUGUCACUCCGGGGUUGCCGGAUCAUAACACGUAGUAGGUAACUAUAACUUGCAAGAUUGGAUCUAGAACAUAGAUAUAAUGGUGAUAACAUAAGUCAUAGCAACAUCAAUCUCAGAACAUAAUGGAUACUCGGGAUGAAGCCCUAACAAAACUAACUCAAUUACAUGAUGAAUCUCAUCCAACUCCUCACCGACCAGCGAGCCUACGAAGGAAUUACUCACUCCUGGUGGGGAGCAUCAUGGAAUUGGCGAUGGAGAAGGGUUGGUGAUGACGAAGAUCGAAGACCCCCCUCUCUGGAGCCCCAAACGGACUCCAAAUCUAGCCUCCCGAUGAAGAACAGGAGAUGACGGCGGCUCUGUCUCGUGGAUCGUGAUAAUUCUUUCUUCCUGAUUUUUUCUGGAAAAAUAGGAUUUUAUAGCGUCGGAUUCAGGGCCUGCGGGGCCACCAGGUGGGGACAACCCACCUGGGUGUGCUUGGAGGGGGGGGGCCUGGUGGGUUGUGCCCAUCCAGGUGCCCCCCUCCGGUUGUUCUUGGCUCCAGAAAUUCUCUGUAUUUGUAUAAAAAUUCCUCGCAAAGUUUUGUUCCAAUCCGAAAACUUUUAUUUCUGCACAAAAAAAACACCAUGGUAGUUUUGUUGGAAACAGCGUCAGUCCGGGUUAGUUUCAUUCAAAUCAUGCAAAUUAGAGUGCAAAACAAGAGGAAAGUGUUAGGAAAAGUAGAUACGACGGAGAUGUAUCAACUCCUCCAAGCUUAAACCUUUGCUUGUCCUCAAGCAAUUCAGUUGAUAAACUGAAAGUGAAAAAAAAAUUACGAACUCUUUUGCUCUUGUUUUCAUAAAUAAGCUUAAACAUCACCCAGUGUCGAUGUCAAAACCGGCGGAUCUCGGAUAGGGGGUCCCGAACUGUGCGUCUAGGCGGAUGGUAACAGGAGACAAGGGACACGAUGUUUACCCAGGUUCGGGCCCUCUCGAUGGAGGUAAAACCCUACUCCUGCUUGAUUAAUAUUGAUGAUAUGGGCAGUACAAGAGUAGAUCUACCACGAGAUCAAGGAGGCUAAACCCUAGAAGGUAGCCUAUGGUAUGAUUGUUGUUGUCCUACAGACUAAAACUCUCUGGUUUAUAUAGACACCGGAGAGGGUUAGGGUUACACAGAGUCGGUUACAAUGGUAGGAGAUCUACAUAUCUGUAUCGCCAAGCUUGCCUUCCACGCCAAGGAAAGUCCCUUCCAGACACGGGAAGAAGUCUUCAAUCUUGUAUGUUCAUAGUCCGGGAGUCCGGCUGAAGGUAUCGUCCGGCUAUCCGGACACCCCCUAAUUCAGGACUCCCUUAGAGCCCCCGAACCAGGCUUCAAUGACGACGAGUCUGGCACGCAAAUUGUCUUCGGCAUUGCAAGGCGGGUUCUCCUUCAAUUUCUGUGUACCUGCUGAAUAAUGUCCGGUUUCUUAUAAAUGUAGCGCUCCUCGGCUUCCACGCCCAAUAAUGGCCGUCUUCCACGUGUCAAAUGAAUACGAAAAGUCUGGGUGUUUUUACAUUCACACCCCCAGCCGCGUAAAUGAGCCGCCUAUUUAAAGGGACGGGGAUUUAGAUCCAAACCACACCUUCUCCUCUCCGCGAGUUUCAUCAGAGCGCAUCCGACAAAGGACCGUUCCAUCAUGGCCAGCCGUCGCAGCUCCUCCUCUCGCCCUUCCAGCCCUCAUCCUGGAGAUUGGGAGAGAUGCUCCGUCCCGCACAGCGAGCUAGUGUCGCUUCGGACCAAAGGGAUUUCUUCCUCCGGCCUAUAUGGUCCCGGUUCGAGCCGGACUUGCCACCUAUAAUGGCGGAGAGCAAGUGGAGAGCGCCCCCAAUCCCUCCAAAGGAGAGCGGGUAUGCCUUGUCCCUUAUUUAAUAAGAGGGCUCGGAUUUCCAAUUCAUCCAUUUCUCCGGGGGCUCCUGGAGUUCUAUGGCCUCCAGCUGCACAACCUCACGCCUGUCUCCGUAUUGCAUAUUGCGGGCUUCGUAGCCCUUUGCGAGUUGUUUUUGGGUGUUGAGGCUCAUUUCGCGCUGUGGAAGAGGCUAUUCUGCCUUGUGCCCUGUUCUUAGGAGGGGUCAAUAUAUCAAGUGGGCGGAGCCAAAGUGUGGUGUAUCGCCGGGACCGGAUAUCUAUCCGGAACCCCAAAGAAGGCGUCUGAGGACUGGCCUUCAGAAUGGUUUUAUAUAGAGGACGUCCCGUUGCCGGAUCCUGUUCGGAUCGGCCUCCCUGAGUUCAACAGCGCUCCCCUAAAGAAAAACCUAAGCUGGCGCCCACGGAGCCCUCAGAGAGAAAGUGACAAGGACAUUCUUUACCUGAUGGGCCGGAUAAGAUUAUUAGCUCAUUCCGGACUAACCAUGAUCGGAGUCAUGGCUGCAUGCAUCAUGCGAGGGGUGCAACCGCUUCAGUACAGAGGCCACCCCAUGUGGGACUUCAACGGGGAGGAUGAUGCCACCCGUCACGGCCGUAAGGGGCCGGACUCGGCUACCGCUCUAGUAAAGAUCUUGUCCGCUUUGUACAAGGGAGAAGAGGAGGAAUUUCUCCGCGUCAACCCACAGGGUGGAUUUACCAUGUACAAUCCCCCAAGUUGGGUAAGUGGGCAAUUUUACUUGCACGUCUGUUUUGUAUUCCCAUCAUUAAAUAUAUAGUCUAACGACUUCAACGCAGGAACUGCGCCUGGAAGUAAAGGACAUAAAUAGCCCGCCUCCACAGCCCGAGGACCCAGAGUUGUCCCUCGAUCCGGCCUCCGAAGAGGAUCCGGACUUAUCCAUGGAGUUAAUUGAUGGGGUGUUUUAUCAAUUGAGCAAGGACAAUGCCUUGGUGGCCAUUAAGGCCGAUUACCCGGGGCUGCUCCCGGCCUCCCAGGUAACUGAGACCGAAGUCCUAGCACCUCAAAAAGGGAUCCGCCCUCGCGUGUUUUUCAGUUUCCUGACAACAACCGUGUUUUGCAGGGGAGGUUCUUGAGACGGGAGGCCGAGCCUGCGGCGACUAGCCAACGAGGGGCUACAGGGCCCCGUGGGAUGAAAAGAAGUGCAGUCCGGAUUGAGGCGCCGGCGCAGAGGUAUAGCACGCCUUCUUAUUCCCAGGUGUUAUUCCUUCAAGGCAUAUUAACACUCGUGCUCUUUUCAGGACAAAAAGACCCCGCCGGACUAUAUCUGGAGAGGCUGCCAAUCGCGCCUCCACCAGCCAGGCUCCAAAGCCUGGUCCGGAGACGGAGGCGAACACGAGGCGCGCACCGGACGCUCCUCCAACAGAGGAUGCGGACAGGCUGUCCGCCACUAAUUCCGAGGUGGAGAGUGCCAUGAACCACAGGCGUCGCCGGACAGUUCUUCGCGACGCUUGUUUCUCCCAAGAGGCAUUGGACGCCUUCAAUUCGGGAGAUGCGUACCUCCGUGCCGCUCAAAAUGGUCUAGCCAGAGCCACGGAGCAAUAUGUAAAAGACAUACAGGUGAGAAAAUUUAAUGGUUAUAUAUAUCAGUAGCCCCCGAGACUUGAAACAGUUAGAAGAACUGAUUUAAGGAUCAUUCAUAAUGCAGGUUCUUGCGGAAAAGAAUACCCAACUGUCCCAGGAGCUAGAAGAGUGCAAAGCCCAACUUGAGGCCGCACUAGCCGCGACAGGGGAGCCCAAGGAGACCCCCUCUGGUAAUAUGUGCUUCAAAAAGAGAAGUAUUUUGUGAAGUGCGGCGUUUGUGCAAAUCUGACAAAUGAAAUUGCAGAUGGCGCCGGAUUAGAUCCGGAAAAGCAACAACUCCUACGCCAGCUAAAGGCUGGUGAGAGCGUGCUGACAAAGGUGAGGUGGGAGAAGAACGAUCUCCAAUAUGCCAACACCAAGCUGGGCGUUGAACUGAAAGAUGUUUGUGCCCAGCUGUCGGACUCCGCUAAGGAGAAUCAGCGGCUUCGACGCGGCAUAUUUAGUAAGUGCUUAAACGAACUUUGAAUAAAGAGUUCGACGAGGAAGUCGACUAACGGAGUAAUGUCUGUAGGUAUGCUAACAGGUCGUCCUGCAGAGGAGAUGCCCGGUUCUAUGGGUGACCUUCUUCCCGAGCUCUUGCAACUGCACGAGCGAGUUCGGCAGGUGAUGCAGGGCGUCGCCCAGGCCUUGUGGCCAUCCAUCUCCAUGCCCGAAGGACUUGGAGAGCUUGCAGAGAAGCUGAAGGGAGCGCGGCGGCGCUUCUGAUUGUGGAAGAUAUCGGCCUGCGUCAAGGCGCUAGGGAGGCAUGGGCCAUGGUGAAGACGCGGUACACGAAGGCUGACCCAAACCACAUGGCCGAGGUCGGACCUGUGGGGCCCGAUGGGAAGGAGAUCCCUGUAAGCUUCGUAUACGGCUAAGUAGAAUUGGCCGCAAAGUAUUCCCAGCAGGACUGUAAGCUAGACAGCCUGUUAGAUGGUAUUGAAGAGGAAUACAAUCAGUCAUAAUGACUAUGUAAUUUUAAUUGACAUGUGUAAUGCCUUCUAGCCAGAUUGUAGAUCAUUUUUCAUGGCCGACCUUUUUGCUUCGACCUCGGGACCUGCGGUCUGGAGUGUGUCCGAAUACCCUUGCGGUUAUAUAAGAACCGGGGUAUGCAUGGAGACUAGGCGUAGGGGUCAUUAGUGCUUGAACAGACAAGUGCCCGACUAGUUAUGUUAUAUUACAUGGUUAGUAAGAAACAUCUUCCAGGGAGAAUAGUUCCGUUAGGGGUUCCUUUCCCUGGGAGGCAUGCCCUAAAGUGCAUGUCCAUUCUGCGAAAAAGAGACGCAGGAAAAAACAUCUGGGGGCGCAUAGAUAAAUAAGUGAAAAAAUCAUCUUUAGUUCACCGACCGAAUAUUUCCUUAAGAACGCUAGCUUUCGGCUUCACCCAGUCUGAGGUACACAUCGGGCUGACCCGGCAGUAACAAUCGCAGAGGUGCUCCCUUUACCACCUAGCCGAACAAUCGGGAACAUAGGGGUAAGCACAGGAGCCAGGCAACCCAGCUUGGCCAAAAAUUAAGUCAUAUCGAUGCAUAUGAUGGUGAAUAAAAGGUACAUGCGGAAGUGUGACACAUGUGUUGGGCAUGAAGCCCGUAUAAGCUUCUGUUCAAAGAAGCCCCCAGGUUUAGUGAGCGUGGAUAGCGCGUCACUUGAUGAGCCUUUAAAGGCUAUAAGAGAAAGGAGGGGGAGAAGGAGAAAAUGGAAGACAGAAAAUAUAAAAAAUGGACAGAGGAAGGAGACGAACAUAGAGUCCGGCGCUAGGCAUAGAAUCUUCGGAGACGGGCUGCGUUCCAUGGGUUCGGUUCGAGUCGGUUAUCCGAUGCAUCUCGCAGGCGGUAUGCUCCACCAGUCAGGACUUGGUCAAUUAUGAAGGGACCUUCCCACUUGGGCUGGAGUUUGUCCUUUUUCUUGUCCGGCAGGCGUAGAACUAGUUCGCCAACAUUGUAAUUUUUGGCCCGUACUUCUCUGCUUUGAUAUCUUCGAGCCUGCUGUUGAUAGAAUGCGGAACGGGCUUUUGCCACGUCACGCUCCUCCUCCAAGGCAUCUAAACUGUCCUGCCGAUCGAGCUCGGCUUCUCUUUCUUCGUACAUGCGCACUCAAGGUGAGUCAUGAAUUAUAUCGCAGGGCAAAACUGCUUCUGCACCGUACACCAUGAAGAAUGGUGUGUAUCCGGUGGUGCGAUUCGACGUGGUCCGCAGCCCCCAGAGUACGGAGUCGAGCUCCUCUACCCAGUGCGUGUUAGAUUCCUUAAGGUACCGCACUAAUCUGGGUUUGAUGCCGCUCAUGAUAAGACCAUUUGCGUGUUCGACCUGUCCGUUAGUUUGUGGGUGAUAGACGGAAGCAUAAUCGAGCUUGAUGCCCAUGUUUUUGCACCAGAGUUUUACCUCAUCGACCGUAAAGUUCGUACCGUUAUCAGUGAUGAUGCUGUGGGGGACGCCGUAACGGUGUACGACCCCCGAUAUAAAGUCUAUCACCGGUCCGGAUUCGGCCGUCUUAAUAGGCUUGGCCUCUAUCCAUUUGGUGAACUUAUCCACCAUGACCAGUAAGUAUUUUUUCUUCUGGGUUCCGCCUUUAAGGGGUCCAACCAUGUCAAGCCCCCAGACCGCGAAGGGCCAAGUGAUGGGGAUAGUUUGGAGGGCGGUGGGUGGCAUAUGGCUUUGGUUUGGCAAAAGCUGGCAACCGACGCAUCGUUGGACUAAGUCCUGAGCGUCUGCCCGGGCCGUUGGCCAAUAAAAGCCUGUACGGAAAGUCUUGCUUACGAGGGACCGAGUUGCGGUGUGAUGACCAUCGAGUCCGGCAUGAAUUUCAGCCAGCAAGUUCCGCCCAUCCUCCUCGGAGAUGCACCUUUGAAGGACUCCGGUAGUGCUUUUCUUAUAAAGCUCUCCCUCAUGGACUUUAUAGGCUUUAGAUCGCCGCACUAUGCAGCGUGCCUCAUUUUGGUCUUCUGGGAGUUCCUGCCUAGUAAGGUAGGCUAGGAAUGGUUCUGUCCACGGGGCGAUGACCGCCAUUAUUACGUGGGCUGAAGAUGUGACUUCAUUGGCAGAAUCUCCAAUUAUGUCAGUGUUGGGUAACGUAGCAGAAAUUCAAAAUUUUCCUACGUGUCACCAAGAUCUAUCUAUGGAGAAACCAGCAACGAGGGGAAGGAGAGUGCAUCUACAUACCCUUGUAGAUCGCUAAGCGGAAGCGUUCAAGAGAACGGGGUUGAAGGAGUCGUACUCGUCGUGAUCCAAAUCACCGAUGAUCCUAGUGCCGAACGGACGGCACCUCCGCGUUCAACACACGUACAGCCCGGUGACGUAUCCCACGCCUUGAUCCAGCAAGGAGAGAGGGAGAGGUUGAGGAAGACUCCAUCCAGCAGCAGCACAACGGCGUGGUGGUGGUGGAGGAGCGUGGCAAUCCUGCAGGGCUUCGCCAAGCACCACGGGAGAGGAGGAAGGAGAGAUGCAGGGCUGCGUCAUAUAGAAGAGAGGAACUCGCGUCUUAUGAGCAGCCCAAACCUCAACUAUAUAUAGGGGAAGGGGAGAGGCUGCGGCCCCUUUAGGGUUUCCACCCCUAGGGGUGGCGGCCAGCCUAGAUCCCAUCUAAGGGAGGCGGCCAAGGGGGAGGGGGAGAGGGAGGCGCACCAGGAUGGGCCUUAGGGCCCAUCUGCCCUAGGGUUUGCCCCCUUCUCCUCUCCCUUGCACCUUGGGCCCUUGUGGGGGGGGGGGCGCACCAGCCCACCUGGGGCUGGUCCCCUUCCACACUUGGCCCAUGAAGCCCUCCGGGGCUGGUUUGCCCCACUUGGUGGACCCCCGGGACCCUCCCGGUGGUCCCGGUACGUCACCGAUAAACCCCGAAACUUUUCCGGUGACCAAAACAGGACUUCCCAUAUAUAAAUGUUUACCUCCGGACCAUUCCAGAACUCCUCGUGACGUCCGAGAUCUCAUCCGGGACUCCGAACAACAUUCGGUAACCACAUACAAACUUCCUUUAUAACCCCAGCGUCAUCGAACCUUAAGUGUGUAGACCCUACGGGUUUGGGAGACAUGCAGACAUGACCGAGACGUUCUCUGGUCAAUAACCAAUAGCGGGAUCUGGAUACCCAUGUUGGCUCCCACAUGUUCCACGAUGAUCUCAUCGGAUGAACCACGAUGUCAAGGACUUAAUCAAUCCCGUAUACAAUUCCCUUUGUCUAUCGGUACGAUACUCGCCCGAGAUUCGAUCGUCGGUAUCCCGAUACCUUGUUCAAUCUCAUUACCGGCAAGUCUCUUUACUCGUUCCGUAACACAUCAUCCCGUGAUCAACUCCUUGAUCACAUUGUGCACAUUAUGAUGAUGUCCUACCGAGUGGGCCCAGGGAUACCUCUCCGUCACACGGAGUGAUAAAUCCCAGUCUCGAUUCGUGCCAACCCAACAGACACUUUCAGAGAUACCCGUAGUGUACCUUUAUAGCCACCCAGUUACCUUGUGACGUUUGGCACACCCAAAGCACUCCUACGGUAACCGGGAGUUGCACAAUCUCAUGGUCUAAGGAAAUGAUACUUGACAUUAGAAAAGCUUUAGCAUACGAACUACACGAUCUAGUGCUAUGCUUAGGAUUGGGUCUUGUCCAUCACAUCAUUUUCCUAAUGAUGUGAUCCCGUUAUCAACGACAUCCAAUGUCCAUGGUCAGGAAACCGUAACCAUCUAUUGAUCAACGAGCUAGUCAACUAGAGGCUUACUAGGGACAUGGUGUUGUCUAUGUAUCCACACAUGUAUCUGAGUUUCCUAUCAAUAUAAUUCUAGCAUGGAUAAUAAACGAUUAUCAUGAACAAGGAAAUAUAAUAAUAAUCAAUUUAUUAUUUCCUCUAGGGCAUAUUUCCAACAGUCUCCCACUUGCACUAGAGUCAAUAAUCCAGUUCACAUCGUUAUGUGACUAACACUCAAGGUCACAUCCCCAUGUGACUAACACCCAAAGAGUUUACUAGAGUCAAUAAUCUAGUUCACAUUUACCAUGUGAUUAACACUCGAUGAGUUCUGGGUUUGAUCAUGUUAUGCUUGUGAGAGAGGUUAUAGUCAACGGGUCUGAACCUUUCAGAUCCGUGUGUGCUUUACAAAUCUCUAUGUCAUCUCCUAGAUGCAGCUACCACGCUCUAUUUGGAGCUAUUCCAAAUAACUGUUCUACUAUACGAAUCCAGUUUACUACUCAGAAUAAUCUGGAUUAGUGUCAAAGUUUGCAUCGGCGUAACCCUUUACGACGAACUCUUUUACCACCUCCAUAAUCGAGAAAAUUCCUUAGUCCACUAGUUACUAAGGAUAACUUUGAUCGCUGUCCUGUGAUCCAUUCUUGGAUCACUCUUGUACCCCUUGACUGACUCAUGGCAAGGCACACUUCAGGUGCGGUACAUAGCAUAGCAUACUGUAGAGCCUAUGUCUUAAGCAUAGGGGACGACCUUCGUUCUUUCUCUCUAUUCUGCCGUGGUCAAGCUUUAAGUCUUAACUUCAUACCUUACAACUCAGGCAAGAACUCCUUCUUUGACUGAUCCAUCUUGAACACCUUCAAGAUCAUGUCAAGGAAUGUGCUCAUUUGAAAGUACCAUUAAGUGUUUUGAUCUAUCCUUAUAGAUCUUGAUGCUCAAUGUUCAAAUAGCUUAAUCCAGGCUUUCCAUUGAAAAAACACUUUCCAAAUAACCCUAUAUGCUUUCCAGAAAUUCUACGUCAUUUCUGAUCAACAAUAUGUCAACAACAUAUAUUCAUCAGAAAUUCUAUAGUGCUCCCACUCACUUCUUUGGAAAUACAAGUUUCUCAUAAACUUCGUAUUCACCCAAAAUCUUUGAUCAUCUCAUCAAAGCAUACAUUCCAACUCGAGAUGCUUACUCCAGUACUUAGAAGGAUUGCUGGAGCUUUGCAUACUUAUUAGCAUAUUUCAGGAUUGACAAAACCUUCCGGUUGUAUCACAUACAACCUUUCCUCAAAAAUCAUCGAGGAAACAAUGUUUUGACAUCCUAUCUGCAAGAUUUCAUAAAUGAUGCAGUAAUUGCUAAUAUAAUUCCAACAGACUCUUAGCAUCGCUACGAGUGAGAAAGUCUCAUCGUAGUCAACUCCUUGAACUUGUCGGAAAACAUCUUAAUGACAAGUCGAGCUUUCUUAAUGGUGAUACUUACCAUCAUUGUCCGUCUUCCUUUUAAAAUCCAUAUGUACCUAACAGCCUUACGACCAUCAAGUUGUUCUUCCAAAGUCUACACUUUGUUUUCACAUAUGGAUCCUCUCUCGGAUUAUAUGGCCUUGAGCCAUUUUGGAAUCCAGGCCCACCAUUGCUCCUCCAUAGCUCGUAGGUUCAUUGUUGUCUAGCAACAUGACUUCCAAGACAGGAUUACGUACCAUUCUAAAGCAGUACACAUCCUUGUCAUCCCACGAGGUUUGGUAGUGACUUGAUCUGAAGUUUCAUGAUCACUAUCAUAAGCUUCCACUUCAAUUGGUGUAGGUGCCACAGGAACAACUCCCUGUGCCCUGCCACACACUAGUUGAAGAGAUGGUUCAAUAACCUCAUCAAGUCUCCACCAUCCUCCCACUCAAUUCUUUCGAGAGAAACUUUUCCUCGAGAAAGGACCCGAUUCUAGUAACAAUCCCUUAUUGCUUUCGAAUCUGAGACAGGAGGUAUACCCAACUGUUUUGGGUGUCCUAUGAAGAUGUAUUUAUCCGCUUUGGGUUCGAGCUUAUCGACCUGAAACUUUUUCACAUAAGCGUCGCAGCCCCAAACUUUUAAGAAAUGACAGCUUAGGUUUCUCUAAACCAUAGUUCAUACGGUGUCAUCUCAUCGGAAUUACGUGGUGCCCUAUUUAAAGUGAAUGUGGUUGUCUCUAAUGCCUAACCCAUAAACUAUUGUGGUAAUUCGAUAAGAGACAUCAUGGUAUGCAUCAUAUCCAAUAGGGUGCAGUUAUGAUGUUCGGACACACCAUCACACUAUGGUGUUCCAGGCUGUAUCAGUUGUGAAACAAUUUCCACAAUGUCUUAAUUCUGUGCCAAACUCGUAAUUCAGAUAUUCAUCUCUAUGAUCAUAUCAUAGAUAUUUUAUCCUCUUGUCACGAUGAUCUUUCAACUUCACCCUGAAAUUACUUGAACCUUUCAAUAAUUCAAACUCAUGAUUCAUCAAGUAAAUAUACUCAACAUCUACUCAAAUCAUCUGUGAAGUAAGAACAUAACGAUAUCCACUACAUUCCUCAGCACUCAUUGGACUGCACACAUCAAAAUGUAUUACUUCCAACAAGUUGCUUUCUAGUUCCAUUUUACUGAAACCGAGGCUUUCAGUCAUCUUGCCCAUGUGGUAUGAUUUGCAUGUCUCAAGUGAUUCAAAAUCAAGUGAGUCCAAAUGGUCCAUUUGCAUGGAGUUUCUUCAUGCAUAUACACCAAUAGACAUGGUUCGCAUGUCUCAAACUUUUCAAAAAUGAGUGAGCCCAAAGAUCCAUCAACAUGGAGCUUCUUCAUGCGUUUUAUACUGAUAUGACUUACGUGGCAGUGCCACAAGUAGGUGGUACUAUCAUUACUAUCUUAUAUCUUUUGGCAUGAACAUGUGUAUCACUACGAUCAAGAUUCAAUAAACCAUUCAUUUUAGGUGCAAGACCAUUGAAGGUAUUAUUCAAAUGAACAGAGUAACCAUUAUUCUCCUUAAAUGAAUAGCCGUAUCGCGAUAGACAUAAUCCAAUCAUGUCUAUGCUCAACGCAAACACCAAAUAACAAUUAUUUAGGUUUAACACCAAUCUCGAUGGUAGAGGGAGCGUGCGAUGCUUGAUCAUAUCAACAUUGGAAACACUUCCAACACAUAUCGUCAGCUCACCUUUAGCUAGUCUCCGUUUAUUCCGUAGCUUUUAUUUCAAGUUACUAACACUUAGCAACCGAACCGGUAUCUAAUACCCUGGUGCUACUAGGAGUACCAGUAAAGUACACAUUAACACAAUGUAUAUCCAAUAUACUUCUAUCGACCUUGCCAGCCUUCUCUUCUACCAAGUAUCUAGGGUAAUUCUGCUCCAGUGGCUGUUCCCCUUAUUACAGAAGCACUUAAUUAGUCUCGGGUUUGGGUUCAACCUUGGGUUUCUUCACUAGAGCAGCAGCUAAUUUGCCGUUUCAUGAAGUAUCCCUUCUUGCCCUUGCCCUUCUUGAAACUAGUGGUUUCACCAACCAUCAACAAUUGAUGCUCCUUCUUGAUUUCUACUUUUGUGGUGUCAAACAUCGCGAAUAUCUCAAGGAUCAUCAUAUAUGUCCCUGAUAUAUUAUAGUUCAUCACGAAGCUCUAGCAGCUUGGUGGUAAUGACUUCGGAGAAACAUCACUUUCUCAUCUGGAAGAUCAACUCCCACUCGAUUCAAAUGAUUGUUGUACUCAGACAAUCUGAGCACAAGCUCAACAAUUGAGCUUUUCUCCCUUAGUUUGCAGGCUAAGAAAAUUGUCGGAGGUCUUAUACCUCUUGACAUGGGCACGAGCCUGAAAUCCAAAUUUCAGCCCUCGAAACAUCUCAUAUGUUUUGCGACGUUUCAAAACGUCUUUGGUGCCUCAACUCUAAACCGUUUAACUGAACUAUCACGUAGUUAUGAAAAUGUGUAUGUCAGAUGUUCGCAACAUCCACAGACAACGUUCGAGGUUCAGCACACUGAGCGGUGCAUUAAGGACAUAAGCCUUCUAUGAAGCAAUGAGGACAAUCCUCAGUUUACGGACCUAGUCCGCAUAAUUGCUACUAUCAACUUUCAACUAUUUUUUUUUCUCUAGGAACAUAUCUAAACAGUAGAACUAAAGCGCGAGCUACGACAUAAUUUGCAAAAUCCUUUUGACUAUGUUCAGGAUAAACAAGUUCAUCUUAUGAACUUCCACUCAGAUAGAUAUCCCUCUAGUCAUCUAAGUGAUUACAUGAUCCGAGUCAACUAGGCCGUGUUCGAUCAUCACGUGAGACGGACUAGUCAUCAUCGGUGAACAUCUUCAUGUUGAUCGUAUCUACCAUACGACUCAUGCUCGACCUUUCGGUCUCUUGUGUUCCGAGGCCAUGUCUGUACAUGCUAGGCUCAUCAAGUCAACCUAAGUGUUUCGCGUGUGUAAAUCUGUCUUACACCCGUUGUAUGUGAACGUUAGAAUCUAUCACGCCCGAUCAUCACGUGGUGCUUCGAAACGACGAACUUUCGCAACGGUGCAUAGUUAGGGGGAACACUUUCUUGAAAUUUUAAUGAGGGAUCAUCUUAUUUACUACUGUCGUUCUAAGCAAAUAAGAUGUAUAAACAUGAUAAACAUCACAUGCAAUCAAAUAGUGAUAUGAUAUGGCCAAUAUCAUAGUGCUCCUUUUGAUCUCCAUCUUCGGGGCUCCAUGAUCAUCAUCACCGGCAUGACACCAUGAUCUCCAUCAUCAUGAUCUCCAUCAUCGUGUCUUCAUGAAGUUGUCUCGCCAACUAUUACUUCUACUACUACAGCUAACUGUUAGCAAUAAAGUGAAGUAAUUACAUGGCGUUGUUUAAUGACACGCAGGUCAUAUAAUAAAUUAAGACAACUCCUAUGGCUCCUGCCGGUUGUCAUACUCAUCGACAUGCAAGUCGUGAUUCCUAUUACAAGAACAUGAUCAAUCUCAUACAUCACAUAUCAUUCAUCACAUUCUUCUUGGCCAUAUCACAUCACAUAGCAUACCCUGCAAAAACAAGUUAGACGUCCUCUAAUUGUUGUUUGCAUGUUUUACGUGGCUGCUAUGGGUUUCUAGCAAGAACGUUUCUUACCUACGCAAAACCACAACGUGAUAUGCCAAUUGCUAUUUACCCUUCAUAAGGACCCUUUUCAUCGAAUCCGAUCCGUCUAAAGUGGGAGAGACAAACACCCGCCAGCCACCUUAUGCAACUAGUGCAUGUUUGUCGAUGGAACCGGUCUCACGUAAGCGUAUGUGUAAGGUUGGUCCGGGCCGCUUCAUCCCACAAUGCCGCCGAAUCAAGAUUGGACUAGUAACGGUAAGCAUAUUGAACAAAAUCAACGCCCACAACUACUUUGUGUUCUACUCGUGCAUAGAAUCUACGCAAUAGACCUAGCUCAUGAUGCCACUGUUGGGUAACGUAGCAGAAAUUCAAAAUUUUCCUAUGUGUCACCAAGAUCUAUCUAUGGAGAAACCAGCAACGAGGGGAAGGAGAGUGCAUCUACAUACCCUUGUAGAUCGCUAAGCAGAAGCGUUCAAGAGAACGUGGUUGAAGGAGUCGUACUCGUCAUGAUCCAAAUCACCGAUGAUCCUAGUGCCGAACGGAUGACACCUCUGCGUUCAACACACGUACAGCCCGGUGACGUAUCCCACGCCUUGAUCCAGCAAGGAGAGAGGGAGAGGUUGAGGAAGACUCCAUCCAGCAGCAGCACAACGGCGUGGUGGUGGUGGAGGAGCGUGGCAAUCCUGCAGGGCUUCGCCAAGCACCACGGGAGAGGAGGAAGGAGAGAUGCAGGGCUGCGUCAUAUAGAGGAGAGGAACUCGCGUCUUAUGAGCAGCCCAAACCUCAACUAUAUAUAGGGGAAGGGGAGGGGCUGCGACCCCUUUAGGGUUUCCACCCCUAGGGGUGGCGGCCAGCCUAGAUCCCAUCUAAGGGAGGCGGCCAAGGGGGAGGGGGAGAGGGAGGCGCACCAGGAUGGGCCUUAGGGCCCAUCUGCCCUAGGGUUUGCCCCCUUCUCCUCUCCCUUGCGCCUUGGGCCCUUGUGGGGGGGGGCGCACCAGCCCACCUGGGGCUGGUCCCCUUCCACACUUGGCCCAUGAAGCCCUCCGGGGCUGGUGGCCCCACUUGGUGGACCCCCGGGACCCUCCCGGUGGUCCCGGUACGUUACCGAUAAACCCCAAAACUUUUCCGGUGACCAAAAUAGGACUUCCCAUAUAUAAAUCUUUACCUCCGGACCAUUCCGGAACUCCUCGUGACGUUCGGGAUCUCAUUCGGGACUCCGAACAACAUUCGGUAACCACAUACAAACUUCCUUUAUAACCCCAGAGUCAUCGAACCUUAAGUGUGUAGACCCUACGGGUUCGGGAGACAUGCAGGCAUGACCGAGACGUUCUCCGGUCAAUAACCAACAGCGGGAUCUGGAUACCCAUGUUGGCUCCCACAUGUUCCACGAUGAUCUCAUCGGAUGAACCACGAUGUCAAGGACUUAAUCAAUCCCGUAUACAAUUCCCUUUGUCUAUCGGUAUGAUACUCGCCCGAGAUUCGAUCGUCGGUAUCCCGAUACCUUGUUCAAUCUCGUUACCGGCAAGUAUCUUUACUCGUUCCAUAACACAUCAUCCCGUGAUCAACUCCUUGAUCACAUUGUGCACAUUAUGAUGAUGUCCUACCGAGUGGGCCCAGAGAUACCUCUCCGUCACACGGAGUGACAAAUCCCAGUCUCGAUUCGUGCCAACCCAACAGACACUUUCGGAGAUACCCGUAGUGUACCUUUAUAGCCACCCAGUUACGUUGUGACGUUUGGCACACCCAAAGCACUCCUACGGUAACCGGGAGUUGCACAAUCUCAUGGUCUAAGGAAAUAUUGACAUUAGAAAAGCUUUAGCAUACGAACUACAUGAUCUAGUGCUAUGCUUAGGAUUGGAUCUUGUCCAUCACAUCAUUCUCCUAAUGAUGUGAUCCCGUUAUCAACGACAUCCAAUGUCCAUGGUCAGGAAACCGUAACCAUCUAUUGAUCAACGAGCUAGUCAACUAGAGGCUUACUAGGGACAUGGUGUUGUCUAUGUAUCCACACAUGUAUCUGAGUUUCCUAUCAAUACAAUUCUAGCAUGGAUAAUAAACGAUUAUCAUGAACAAGGAAAUAUAAUAAUAAUCAAUUUAUUAUUGCCUCUAGGGCAUAUUUCCAACAGUCAGAUUGUUCGGUGUUGGGCAGUGCGGUUGAGUCCGGGCUGUUAUUGCCGGGUUCCCCUUCCCAUACUACGGACGGCUUGAAUAGCCUUUCCAAGAAGAUGUUGGGAGGGACUGCAUCGCGUUUUGCGCCGAUGCGUGCCAGGACAUCCGCCGCCUGAUUAUUUUCCCGGGCUAUAUGGUGAAAUUCGAGCCCUUCGAACUGAGCUGACAUUUUUAAGACGAUGUUGCGAUAAGCUGCCAUUUUUGGAUCCUUGGCAUCGAAGUCUCUGUUUAUUUGGGACAUUGCGAGGUUCAAAUCCCCUCGCACUUCUAGGCGUUGAAUACCCAUGGAUACUGCCAUCCAGAGACCAUGUAAGAGGGCCUCGUAUUCGGCUGCAUUGUUGGAGUCUGUGUACAUAAUCUGGAGUACAUAUUGAACUGUGUCUCCUGUGGGGGACGUCAAAACGACGCCAGCCCCCAGACCGGCCAACAUUUUGGAGCCGUCGAAAUGCAUGAUCUAGUUUUAAUAUGUGCCGUACUCUUCAGGGAGUUCGGCCUCCGUCCAUUCUGUGACGAAGUCAGCCAAAACUUGCGACUUGAUAGCUCGCCGUGGCUUAUAAGUUAUGUCGAACGGGAGGAGCUCGAUGGCCCAUUUCGCAAUCCGGCCCGUUGCGUUGCGGUUCUUUAUAAUAUCGUUUAGUGGUACUUCUGAGGCUACUAUUAUUGAACACUCUUGAAAGUAGUGUCGCAGCUUCCGGGAUGCCAUGAAUACCGCGUACGCAAUCUUUUGAUAAUGUGGGUACCUUGAUUUGCACGGAGUGAGGACAGUGGACACAUAAUAGACCGGCUUCUGAAGGGGGAAUUUGUGUCCGUCGUUUCUCGUUCGACGACGAGCACUGCGCUCAGAACCUGAUGGGUUGCUGCAAUGUAUAAUAGCAUUGGUUCGCCAAUGUUUGGCGCGGCCAGGACUGGGUUUGUUGCCAAUAUGGCUUUUAUUUCGUCGAGUCCGGCCGUGGCUGCGUCCGUCCACUCGAAGUGUUCGGUGCGCCUAAGGAGGCGGUAAAGGGGGAGUGCCUUUUCUCCCAAGUGGGAGAUAAAGCGGCUUAGAGCCGCCACACAUCCGGUUUACUUUUGUAUUUGUUUGAGGUCCUUUGGGAUAUUCAAUUGUGACAGAGCUCGGAUCUUGGCUGGAUUUGCUUCAAUUCCUCUACCGAAUACAAUGAAGCCCAAGAGCUUUCCGGCUGGAACGCCGAAAACGCAUUUUUCUGGGUUGAGCUUGAUGUCGUAUGUUCGGAGGUUAUCAAAUGUGAGCCUCAAGUCAUCUACUAGGGAUUCGACAUGUCUUGUUUUUACGACCACAUCAUCUACAUAUGCCUCCACUGUUUUGCUGAUCUGGUUUGCCAGACAUGUCUGAAUCAUGCGCUGAUAUGUUGUUUUGAGCCCGAAGGGCAUUGUGUUGAAGCAGAAUGGGCCGUAUGGUGUGAUCAAUGUCGUUGCGGCUUGGUCUGAUUCUGCCAUCUUGAUUUGAUGGUAGCCGGAAUAUGCGUCGAGCAAGCACAACGAAUCGUGUCCUGCAGUAGCGUCGAUAAUUUGAUCCAUGCGGGGGAGGGGAAAGGGAUCCUUUGGGCAAGCCUUAUUAAGGUCUUUAAAAUCAACGCACAAGUGCCAGGAUUUGUCCUUCUUUGGUACCAUCACUAGGUUUGCUAGCCAGUCCGGAUGUUUUAUAUCUCUGAUGGAUCCGGCCUCUAAUAGCUUGGCUAGCUCCUCUCCCAUGGCCUGUCUCUUAGGUUCGGAAAAACGCCGAAGAGCCUGUUUGACAGGUUUGAAUCCUUUAGGAUAUUUAAGCUGUGUUCGGCCAGCCUGCGUGGGAUUCCUGGCAUGUCUGAAGGGUGCCAGGCGAAAAUGUCCUAGUUCUCACGUAGGAACUCUCGCAGUGCGGCGUCUACAUCAGGGUUUAAUUGUGCACCGAUGGAAGCUGUUUUAUUGGGGUCCGUUGGAUGGACCUGGAAUUUGACUAUUUUGUCCGCUGGUUUAAAUGAGAUGGACUUGGAUCUUUUGUCGAGUAUCACAUCAUCCCUGUUCACCGUGGAGCGCAGCGCAGUCAGCUCCUCAGCCGCUAGGGCUUAGGAUAGUGCCUCAAGGGCCAGUGCGGCUGUCUUAUUUUAGGCGCGGAGUGCUAUGUCCAGAUCACUAGCGAGAGUGAUGAUUCCGUUCGGCCCGGGCAUCUUGAGUUUCAUGUACCCAUAAUGGGGUAUUGCUUGGAAGAUUGUGAACGCUUCCCGCCCUAGCAGAGCGUGGUAUCCGCUACUGAACGGGACCACUUGGAACGUGACCUCCUCGGACCUGUAAUUAUCCGGCGUGCCGAACACCACAUCUAGUGUGAUUUUUCCUGUACAGCACGCUUCCUGACUGGGGAUUAUUCCUCUAAAGGUUGUGCUGCUUCGCUCAAUGCGGUUCCAGUCUAUUUCUAGUUUUUGAAGGGUUUCCUCAUAAAUGAGGUUCAAUCCGCUGCCUCCAUCCAUGAGUACCUUGGUAAGGCGAAAGCCAUCCACUAUUAGACUGAGGACCAAUGUGGCUGGUGCUCGGGCUGUUCGGAAUUUAGGUUCAUCACUGGCAUUAAAAGUAAUAGCCGUGUCACUCCAUGGGUUUAUUGUUGCUACUUGGUAGACUUCGACAAGGCUGCGGAGUGUUCUUUUUCGCAUAUUAUUUGAUGCGAAAGUCUCGAAGACUGUUAAUACCGUACCGGUAUCCCUGGGGUGGCUUUCUAUGGCCUCCGGAAUUAGGAGAUCUUCACCAAUUUUGGCCACCUGCCGGAGUAUCCAACAUGCUCUAAGGCUGUGAGUUGGUGUGGCGCCCUCUGUACUAUGAAUUUUACAGGGUCGAUUAAGCCAUCCUUCCAAUAUGCUUCCAUGCCCUGUAGAGGGUUUUUGCUUUUUGGUGUUUAACCGGGUGUCUGGCGAAGAUGCACCCUUUUAUUUCGGACUGGGUUUGUAUUCAGGGCCGGAUUGUCCCAAAAUUUUAUUUCGGUUUUCCAGGCGCUAUCCAUCGCACAGUACUUUCGUACUAUGGACACCAAGUCAGCGAAGCAUGUAAUAUCACGGCGACUUAUGGCGUUGAGGAUUCCCUUGUCCAUGCAAUUAUUGCAGAAGAAUGAGAUUGCGUCUUCCUCGCGGCAGUCCUUGAUCCUGUUCAUAGCCAGGAGGAAUCUGGCCCAGUAAUGAUGUACUGUUUCUUUGGGUUUUUGCCUAAUUUGGGAUAGAUCGCUUAUGUUCGGGUGGGUGGGUGGAAUUAAAUCCGAAACCUGACCCGAUCUGAGACUCAGAGGCCAAGGAGAUUCCGAACUCGGAAGUUUGGAUUCUUGGAUGUUGUCCAAUGAGUCUAGCCCGUCGCCUGACUCUAAGUUCAGGUCUUGAGUGAUGUCCUCCCCUCCGCGGGUAUCCGACUUGGAGGGAUCGGGAAUCCGGACAUAACUAGUCCUUAAGAUAGAUGAAGGGUCACCGCACUGUCCCUCUACCAUAGCAAUGUGAUGGGUGACCUGGGGAGAGUUAAUCUCUCUUAGAUCGGGUUUAGGCCCAAUCUGGUCAUAAUCCGUGGCAACUCCCAGGGCGGCGACGCGAUCCAAGAGCUCGUUUAUGGAAGAGAGCUCCAUUGUAUCUAACUGCUCGGCGAGUUCCGAGAUGACAUGAAGACUGCUUUUGAUGACCCGAGAGGUCAUCGUCGGCGCAGCAGCCGAACAGGCGGUCAUAAGAAAACCGCCUAGCCGGAGAGUUUGGCCGACAGCCAAAGCUCCCUUAGCAACGGUUCCGUCUUUAAAGACGGGAUGAGGCAUCCUUCCUGAUGGCGACGGCACAGAGGAACUCUCAAUGUAAGCACCAAUAUCGGUGUCAAAACCGGCGGAUCUCGGGUAGGGGGUCCCGAACUGUGCGUCUAGGCGGAUGGUAACAGGACACAAGGGACACGAUGUUUACCCAGGUUCGGGCCCUCUCGAUGGAGGUAAAACCCUACUCCUGCUUGAUUAAUAUUGAUGAUAUGGGUAGUACAAGAGUAGAUAUACCACGAGAUCAAGGAGGCUAAACCCUAGAAGCUAGCCUAUGGUAUGAUUGUUGUUGUCCUACGGACUAAAACCCUUCGGUUUAUAUAGACACCGGAGAGGGUUAGGGUUACACAGAGUCGGUUACAAUGGUAGGAUAUCUACAUAUCCGUAUCGCCAAGCUUGCCUUCCACGCCAAGGAAAGUCCCUUCCGGACAUGGGACGAAGUCUUCAAUCUUGUAUCUUCAUAGUCCGGGAGUCCGGCUGAAGGUAUAGUCCGGCUAUCCAGACACCCCCUAAUCCAGGACUCCCUCACCCAGGUUUUCAGCCAAGAUUAUAACUAACCAUGUCGACAAUAACUCUUAAACAUUAUAGUAACUCUUAUGAGUAGAGGCCGCGGGAAAAAGCCUAGUAGUAGCGCGGAUAAAAGACUAGUAGUAGUGCGGGUGCCCGUGCUACUACUAUGGCGCUACAGCUAACUCGUAGUAGUAGCGCAGGUGCCACCCGUGCUACUAGUACGUGUGUUAGUAAUAGCGCGGAUUCUACACACGCUACUACUAACUAUGUGUAGCGCCUGUCUGUGACCCGCGCUACUACUAUUAAUUUCAAAAACCAAAAAAAAAUCUCGACCCCGUGCAUGUUGUCAAUGGUGUCAUCCAGCGACGACAGGGGUUGCCGGAGGUGUGGACGGGUAGUGGCAGACCAGAUCCGGCGAUGGCUGUUGGAGAUGGCCGGAUCCAGUGUAGAGCAAGACGACGGUGUGAGGAUCCUCUUCGCGGUCAAGGCGGAGAACUCCUGGUUGGCCAUGUCGACGACCUGUGCAGGCAUGGGCAUGGGAGGUGAGUAAAACCAAAGGGAGAGGGAGAGGAGAGGGAGAGGGAAAAAGAGAAACAAGGGAGAAAGGAAGGAGAUGGAGGGCGUAUCGGGGCUGCAUGGAGGCGAGGAGGAAGACGGGCGAGCUCUUGGACGCCAGCGAUGCGAGGAGGAAGACGUUGGGUGCCAUGGAGGAGGAGAUGUUCUUGGGCAGGAGCACCAUGGAGAGAGGGGGAAAGUGAGGGAGAGAGGAGGAAAGUGAGAGAGGGGGAAAGUGAGGGAGAGAGGAGGGAUUCGGCCGAGGAUAUGGAGAUUUCAUCUACCUCGUACUUAGUAGUAGCGAGGGGUAUAAAACCGCACUACUACUAUCAACAUAGUAGUAGCAUGGGUUUGUACCCCUCGCUACUACUAUGGCAUGUCCCGGGAGGGCAUGGUAGACACCGCUUAGUAGUAUCGAGGGUGAAAAACCCGCGCUAAUAGUAUCAACUUAGUAGUAGCGAGGGGUAAAAACCCACGCUACUAGUAAGUAGCAGUAGCGACGGUUAUAAACCCGCGCUACUAGUAAGCGUCUGCCUAUAAGCUUUUCCCUAGUAGUGGCAUAUCUAUGACAUAAUCAACUAGCGAGCAAUAAUAAGAUAUCUCAAACAACAACACGUUGUGAAAACAACCAUGAUAUAAUAUGACAAUAGUGGUAUCUCGCUAGCCCUUUCUAAGACCGCAAAACAUAAAUGCAGAGCACCUCCAAAGUUCAAGCAGCGACUAAACAUUGUAAUUCAUGGUAGAAAAGAUCUAGUCUUGAUGCACCCAACAUUAGCAACACAUAGUGCAUCAGCAUGACAACAGUGCUCUUUGGAUUUGGCACUUAUUUUAGAAGGUGAUGACACAACAUAAAAGUAAAUAGAUAGUCCCUUCGCAGAGGGAAGCAGUGAUUUGCAGCUGUGCCAGAGCUCAAAAUUUUAAAACAGAGGUAAAUGAAAUUUUGGGAAAUUGAUACGUAUCCAAUGUAUCUAUAAUUUUUUAUUGUUCCAUGCUAUAUUAUAUUAUGUUUUGGAUGUUUAAUAGGCUUAUUUAUACACUUUUAUAUUAUUUUUGGGACUAACCUAUUAACCGGAGGCCCAGCACAAAUUGCUGUUUUUGUUCCUACUUCAGUGUUUCGCAAAAAAAAGAAUAUCAAAUGGAGUGCAAACGGAAUGAAACCUUCGGGAACAUGAUUUUUGAAACAAAUGUGAUCCAGAGGACUUGGAGUCCAUGUCAAGCAGUCAACGAGGAGGGCACGAGGCAGGGGGCGCUCCUACCUCCCCCUAGGCGCGCCCUCCACCCUCAUGGGGCCCACGUUGCUCCACCGGCGUACUUCUUCCUCCUAUAUAUACCUACGUACCCCCAAACCAUCAGGGGCAUCCACGAAAACCUAAUUCCACCGCCGCAACCUUCUGUACACGUGAGAUCCCAUCUUGGGGCCUUUUCCGGCAUCCUGCCGGAGGGGGCAUUGAUCACGGAGGGCUUCUACAUCAACACCAUAGCCACUCCGAUGAUGUGUGAGUAGUUUACCUUAGACUUUUGGGUCCAUAGUUAUUAGCUAGAUGGCUUCUUCUCUCUCUUUGGAUCUCAAUACAAAGUUCUCCACGAUUCUCGUGGAGAUCUAUUCGAUGUAAUCUUCUUUUGCGGUGUGUUUGUCGGGACCGAUGAAUUAUGGAUUUAUGAUCAAGUUUAUCUAUGAACAAUAUUUGAAUAUCCUCUGAAUUCUUUUAUGUAUGAUUGGUUAUCUUUGCAAGUCUCUUCGAAUUAUCAGUUUGGUUUGGCCUACUAGAUUGAUCUUUCUUGCAACGGGAGAAGUGCCUAGCUUUGAGUUCAAUCUUGUGGUGUCGUUUCCCAGUGACAGCAGGGGCAGCAAGGCACGUAUUGUAUUGUUGCCAUCGAGGAUAACAAGAUGGGGUUUAUAUCAUAUUGCAUGAGUUUAUCUCUCUACAUCAUGUCAUCUUGCUUAAAGCGUUACUCUGUUCUUAUGAACUUAAUACUCUAGAUGCAUGUUGGAUAGCGAUCGAUGUGUGGAGUAAUAGUAGUAGAUGCAGGCAGGAGUCGGUCUACUUGUCACGGACAUGAUGCCUAUAUACAUGAUCAUACCUAGAUAUUCUCAUAACUAUGCUCAAUUCUAUCAAUUGCUCGACAGUAAUUUGUUCACCCACCGUAAUACUUAUGCUUUUGAGAGAAGCCACUAAUGAAACAUAUGGCCCCCGGGUCUAUUUUCCAUCAUAUUAAUCUUCCAACACAUAGCCUUUUCUAUUGCCCUUUUUAUUUUACUUUGCAUCUCUAUUUCUCUUUAUCAUAGAAAUACUAAAAAUAUUAUCUUAUCAUAUCUAUCAGAUCUCACUCUCGUUAGUGACCGUGAAGGGAUUGACAACCCCUUUAUCGCGUUGGUUGCGAGGUUCUUAUUUGUUUUGUGUAGGUGCGUGGGACUUGAGCGUGGCCUCCUACUGGAUUGAUACCUUUGUUCUCAAAACUGAGGGAAAUACUUACGCUACUUUGUUACAUCACCCUUUCCUCUUCAAGGCAAAAAACAACGCAAUGCUCAAGAGGUAGCAAGAAAGAUUUCUGGCGCCGUUGCCGGGGAGUUUACGCAAAAGUCAACAUACCAAGUACCCAUCACAAACUCUUAUCCCUUGCAUUACAUUAUUUGCCAUUUGCCUCUCGUUUUCCUCUCCCUCGCUUCACCCUUGCCGUUUUAUUCGCCCUCUUUUCCGCUCGCCUUUCCUUCGCCAUGUCGGAACCAAAAAGAGUUGGGGGUUCUCUCCCGAGUUUUAGUACUUUGGACGAUCCUUCUAUUCUAUCUAAACUCAUAAAUAAUGUCAUGGUAAAACCUGCCGGAGUUGUCAAUGAGAGUCUUAAUAAUUUUGAUGAAGAUGAUUCCGGAAUUUUUCGUUAUUUACUCGAUGAAUCUUUGAAAGAUGCUUGGGAUAGACUGUUAAGGAUCCGGGCUAACUAUGUGCCCCAAUACCAAAUUGUAGUUUACUUGAAGAGCUUUUAUGUUGCCCUACCUUCUUCGUUUAAGCAUGUCUUAGAUUCUAUAUUUGAAGAAGGCUUUCUUGAAGGGGAUGCCGUAGAUACUUAUGAAAAGAUGAAGACCAUAUUCGGGCACCCCAUGAAUGAGAAAAUUGAAUCUACAUCUCUUUUGCUCUCCAGUCCUUGGUUCAUGUAAAUCUGAAUCUAGCCGGCACUACCCCUUCACAAGCUGUUGCAUAGUCUUCAGCGAGGUGCGGCAUAACUUCCGUGUGAGGGGAAAUGAACUUCUCCAUGAAUACCUUCUCUCUCACCUUGAAAGCGGUAUAGUAGUAGCCUGGGUUGCACUUGAGCAAUCCAUUUUCCAUGAGAAACUUUACAACGUAGUACCUGGGUUUCAUCCAGCCCUCCAGCUUGUAAUUGAUAAUUAUUGACCGUUGAGCAACGUAGGUAGGUUCCAACCUGUUAGACUAUGUAUAGCUUCUGUACCUAUGUACGUAUAUGGUACAUAUUGUAACACAACCAUUAUAUAUAAUGAGAUAAGCCACCCCUAGAGGGUUGUGCUGGUUCCCCAAAACUUAUUGUCUUACAUGGUAUCACGCUAGGUUACGAUCGCUUCCGCUUCUAAACCCUAAUACCCGCACCGCCGCCGCAGCCGCCGCCGCCUUCACCGCCGCCGCCGCGCCACCGAUCGCGCCGCCGCCAUGUCGAGCGCUGCCACCACCGGUUCCACUGCUGCGGGCUUCCUCCCGGCCUCUCUUGCGGCUCUGCUCAACCUCCCGCUCGAUGCCGUCUCUGUUCCGGCUCCGAUCGGGACAAGGAGCAUCGGCUCCGUCUUCUCCAUGCCGCCGGCGCCCUCGCUUGGGCGUGACCUCGUGGUCCACACCGCGGCGCCGCCGUCCGCUGCGGACUCCGCAGGCAUCGUCCCGCCGCUCCUGCCGCAAGCGGAUCACACUGCCCCGCUGGCGGGGUUGGCGGCGUCCGCCCCGGCCGCGGGCCUUGCGGCGUCCGCACCGGCCGCGAGCUUUGCGGCGCCCGCCCUGGCUGCGGUCCCGCCUCCUCCCGCAUCGGCUUCGGUGCCUCCAGCUGCCUCCAUGGUGUUUGCACCCCAGGCAGCCUCCUCGAUGGGAUUGUCUUCGCCGCUGCCGUUUCACUUCGGUCAUCUCAUCACCAUCAAGCUCUCCGCCGACAACUACAUCUUCUGGCGUGCGCAGGUUCUCCCGCUCUUGGGGAGUCACUACCUGCUAGGCUACAUCGACGGAUCGCUUCCCUGCCCACCCGCGCUGGUAGACAGCAUGCACGGUCCGGUCUACAAUCCGGCCCAUCGCGUCUGGACGGGGCAGGACCAGGCGAACCUCUCCUCCAUCCAGGGGUCGCUCUCGCCGGCAGUUGUCGGCCUUGUUGUCUUCGCGAAGACGUCUCAUGAGGCCUGGACCAUCCUUGAGCACACCUUUGCAGCGCAGUCCCAGGCUCGUGUCUCUGCACUCCGUCGUCAGCUUGGAGAGUGUCAGAAGCUUGACUCCACUGCCACUGAGUUCUACAACAAGGUCAAGGGCCUCGCCGACACAUUGGCCUCCAUUGGACAGCCCCUCACCGACUCCGAGUUCAACUCGUUUAUUGUCAAUGGUCUUGAUGAGGAGUAUGAUGCCUUAGUCGAGAUCAUCAACGAGCGGGGCAACUCGACACCCAUGCUGGCACACGAGGUUUUCUCUCGGCUCCUUCUCACUGAGCAACGGGUCGAGACUCGCCGCACCAGGGGCACUGGCUCCCUCUCGGCCAACGCCGCCACCAAGGGUGGCCGCUCUUCUUCAUCACCCCGGUCUCCCUUGGGGCUGCCACCGUCGCCCUCCUCGGCCCCCCACCUACUGCGACCUUACCGGGGGCUGGCGUUCCACGUGUGUGUCAGCUUUGUGGCCGCGAUGGGCACUGGGCCUCCAAGUGUCAUAAGCGCUUCCAGCGAAGCUUCCUUGGUCUUGGCAAUGACGGCAAAGAUACACGCAACAAUGCCCGUCAGGUCGCCAUGGCUGAUCGUCCCGCGCCGCAGAAGCAACAGGGACACACUCAGUCCUACUCCAUCGAUCCACACUGGUACAUGGACUCUGGGGCGAUAGAGCAUCUAACCAGCGAGAUGGGGAAGCUUCACACUCGUGAACCCUAUCAUGGCUCCGACAAGAUCCACACCGCCAAUGGAGCAGGUAUGCACAUCUCUCAUAUUGGUCAAGCAUCUCUUCUCACUAGACAUGCCAAUAGGAGUCUUCAGCUUCGCAAUGUUCUUCGAGUUCCAUCUGUGACCCGUAAUCUUCUUUCAGUUCCUAAACUCACACGUGAUAAUAAUGUGCUUUGUGAAUUUCACCCUUUUGAUCUUUUUAUUAAGGAUCGGGGCACGAGGGACAUUCUUCUUAGUGGGCGGUUGUGCCAGGGCCUCUACCGUCUGGAGCAUCCUGGUGUCGCUCGUGUUUUCAGUGGAGUUCGGGUCUCUCCGUCACAGUGGCAUGCUCGUCUUGGUCACCCGGCCACACCUAUUGUCCGUCAUAUUUUGCGUCGUCAUGAGCUUCCUAGUUUGUCUAGUCAUAAAGAUGUAGCAGUGUGUGAUGCUUGUCAGCAGGGGAAGAGUCAUCAACUUCCUUUUUCGGAGUCCAGUCGUGAGGUGAAACAUCCUUUAGAACUUGUGUUUUCAGAUGUAUGGGGUCCUGCUCAGACUUCUGUCAGUGGUCAUAAUUACUAUAUCAGUAGUCGCUUUACCUGGCUUUACCUUAUUAAACGCAAAUCUGAUGUGUUUGAUAUUUUUGUUCAGUUUCAAAAACAUGUUGAACGUCUUCUCAAGCACAAAAUUGUUCAUGUCCAGUCAGACUGGGGGGGCGAGUAUCGCAACCUCAACUCUUUCUUUCAGUCGCUUGGGAUAGCUCAUCGUUUAGCAUGUCCACAUACACAUCAGCAGAAUGGUUCAGUCGAACGUAAGCAUCGUCAUAUUGUUGAAGCUGGUCUUACUCUUUUGGCCCAUGCAUCUAUUCCGUUUCGGUUUUGGAGUGAUGCUUUCACCAUUGCAUGCUUUCUCAUCAACCAUACUCCUACUCGUGUUUUAAACAUGAAGACUCCCAUUGAGGUUCUCCUUAAUGAACAACCUGAUUAUACCUUUCUCAAGGUAUUUGGGUGUGCUUGCUGGCCGCAUCUUCGUCCAUAUAACAAGCGCAAGCUUGAGUUUCGUUCUAAGAAGUGUGUUUUUCUUGGCUAUAGCUCUCUUCAUAAAAGUUACAAAUGUCUUCAUGUUCCCACUAAUCGUGUCUAUAUAUCUCGGGACGUCGUGUUUGAUGAGCAUGUUUUUCCCUUUGCCAACCUUCCUGUGUCCACUGUCGAACCACCAUCCCUGCAUUCAUCCUCUGUUGCUUCUGACCAAUUUGAUGAUGUUGCAUACUCUCCUUUGCUGUUACCUAACCAUCUCCACUGCUCGGUCCGUUUCGCCAGCGGCCGCCGAGUCGCCCGCGACUCGGCCCGUCACGCCGUCUUCGCCUGCGGCUCGGCCCGUCACGCCGUCUUCGCCCGCGGCUCGGGUCCUCAUGUCGCCUUCAUCAGCGGAUCGGCCUGCGACACCGGCCGCGCCACGGCCCACUAUGCCGAGCUCGCCAUCGGCCCGGUCUGUGAUGCCGGAGUCGCCAGCUGCUUCGUCUGCUCUGCCGGUUUCGCCGGUGGGUCGGCCUUCUUCGCCAACCGAGUCCGAGGCUACCGUGACUGGCUCCUCGUCACCGGCUGACUCGUCAACGUCGCCGUCCUCCAGCCCGUUGCAGGCUGCUCCGUCGACCUCGGUGGUUCCUGUGUCCCGACCACAUACAUGCAGUCGCAGUGGCAUUUUCAAACCUAAGGAACGUAAGGAUGGUACGGUUGCUUGGUUGGCUGCUUGUUUGGCUGCUGCUGUUGCGGAUCCAUCUUCUGAGCCUCGCUCAUAUCAGGCUGCCCUGCGCAUUCCACAUUGGCGAGAGGCUAUGGAGCAGGAGUUUCAUGCUCUUCUUCGUAACAAGACAUGGACUCUCGUUCCUCCACCACCACGGGUAAAUGUUAUUGAAUCAAAAUGGGUAUUCAAAGUGAAGAAGCAUUCGGAUGGAUCUAUUGAGCGUUACAAAGCGCGACUUGUUGCUCGCGGUUUUCGGCAGCGUCAUGGUCUUGACUAUGAGGACACCUUCAGUCCUGUCGUCAAGCCUACCACUAUUCGACUUCUUCUCUCCAUUGUUGUUUCUCGUGGUUGGUCACUUCGUCAACUUGAUGUGCAGAAUGCUUUUCUACAUGGAUUUUUGGAGGAAGAGGUUUAUAUGAAACAGCCGCCUGGUUUCUCUGAUCCUGAUCGUCCUGACUAUAUCUGUCGUCUUUCCAAAGCACUAUAUGGUUUGAAGCAAGCUCCUCGUGCCUGGCAUGCCUGCCUUGCCUCUGCCCUUCGUGCUCAUGGGUUUGUGCCGUCUACUGCUGACACUUCGUUAUUUCUUCUACAGAAGCCAGAAGUCACUAUGUAUCUUUUGGUAUAUGUCGAUGAUAUUAUCCUUGUCAGCUCUUCUCAGUAUGAUGCUGAUGCUCUUGUCUGCUCUCUUGGUGCUGAUUUUGCGGUCAAAGAUCUUGGGAAGCUUCACUACUUUCUUGGAGUUGAGGUCACUUCUCGUGCUACUGGUCUUGUCCUUACGCAGAAGAAGUACUCCUUGGAGUUGUUACAGAGAGCUGGCAUGCUGAAGUGCAAACCGACCACCACACCCAUGUCGUCUACCGACAAGAUAACAGCUGCUGAUGGUGAGCUUUUGUCUCCUGCGGAUGCCACAGAGUACAGGAGCAUUGUUGGUGGACUUCAGUACUUGACGAUCACGAGACCAGAUAUCUCUUAUGCUGUUAACAGGGUUUGUCAGUAUCUUCAGGCUCCCAGAGAUACUCAUUGGGCUGCUGUUAAACGCAUUCUUCGUUAUGUUCAGUUCAUCCUGACAUUUGGUAUGCAUAUUCGGCCGACUUCCUCUCGGGUCCUUUCGGCCUUCUCUGAUGUAGAUUGGGCUGGUAGCCCAGAUGACAGACGAUCCACGGGGGGUUAUGCAGUAUUCUUUGGCUCUAAUUUGAUCGCCUGGAGUGCUCGGAAACAAGCUACUGUGUCACGUAGCAGUACUGAAGCUGAGUACAAGGCUGUGGCUAAUGCUACUGCAGAGAUUAUUUGGGUGCAGUCUUUGCUUCAGGAGUUGGGUUUGUCUCAACCACAGCCUCCUAUUCUUUGGUGUGAUAACAUCGGUGCUACAUACCUUUCUGCAAAUCCAGUAUUUCAUGCCCGAAUGAAACACAUUGAAGUUGACUAUCACUUUGUACGGGAACGUGUAUCACAGAAGCAACUCCAGAUCAAGUUUAUCUCAUCUAAGGAUCAACUUGCAGACAUCUUCACUAAGCCUUUACCGCUGCCACAGUUUGAGGCUUGUAGGCGCAAUCUUACCCUUCUCAGUUCUUUAGAAAGUGGCUAAGAUUGAGGGAGGGUGUUAGACUAUGUAUAGCUUCUGUACCUAUGUACGUAUAUGGUACAUAUUGUAACACAACCAUUAUAUAUAAUGAGAUAAGCCACCCCUAAAGGGUUGUGCUGAUUCCCCAAAACUUAUUGUCUUACACAACCCCACCUCAGAGAUGAGGAAAUCAGACCUGCGCUGCAGUAAUUCCUUUGACUUCCUCAGCAGACACGGAGCGUUACACACAACAAUGCUCACCUCAGCGUCUGACCACCUGAACAUCUUCUUCAAGUAGGCCACAUUGGCGGCGAUCUUCUCCUCGCUGAGGAAUCUGACAGUAUCCAGCGUGUGCCUGAACAUCCUGAGCCACGAGGCAUGCCAAGGCCUUCGGCGCAUGCCACCAUCGCCCUGACGUGUUCUGGCUUGUUGCUCAGGACACCCCGCGCGCGGAGGGACAACUUGGUGAUAUCGCAAUCAUCUAGCCCGCAUUGCCGUAGGAGCGCGACGUUGGGUUUGACCAUCUCCUCGAUGCUGUGUUUUGGUUUUCGGUUUGCGUUUUUUCUCGCCCCUGAACGAGAUGGCCGAAAUUCGGCCAUUUCAAAAAUCUCGGUAAAAUCUCGGACGAAAUUACAAAACCAAAAUUUGAAUUUUAAACGAAAUUUGACUAAAAAUUGGCCGAAAUUCGGCCGAAUUUUUUGAAAACAAGCAGAGCAAAUGUACAGCAGUCGAACAACACUGAGGAGUACAUGUAUGCGUUACCAAACUAGCUUUGGGGAUUAAUAACUCCAAAAGAAAAGAUUGAAACAAGGAUACAGAGAGGUGAUCCAGAGUUGAGGAGUUCCCGAUGGAUUCAGCCGCAGCCCGCAGCCGGCAGAGGUCAGCAGCAGGGGCCGGUCGUAGGAACGGCGAGAACGGGGUAGGAGCCGCAUGCUCGAGCGGGGAGGCAGGUGCCGACGAGCGGAGGAGCCGCGUAUUGGCGCAUCGCCGCCGCCGCAAACACAGGGGCCGCAGGGGAUCGUGGUUAGUUUAGGGUUCACGAGUUCGGUUCGAUGCUUUUAAUCCAGGCAAACCGUGGGGAGGCCCAGAAGUUGGACUGGGCCAGAAAAAAGUUUCAAUCUGGGCCGAAAGUUUUGGCCGGCACAGACAUUUACCGGGUCGAGGCGAGAUGACCGAAAUUCGGCCGAAAAUUGUUUUUUUCGGCCGAAAAUCAAAACACAGCCUCGAUGUCAGCGCCGGCGAGGUAGCCUUGCUUGAGCACCCGGAAGAGGUUCUCCGAGGAGCCGAAUAGGAGCAGGUAGUACCGCAAAUUGGAAACAAUGGACCUGGAACAGAAGUGGGCGAAGGAGAGCGCGACGAGGCGCACGAUCUCAGUACGCGAGAGGCCGAGGCCGGUGAGCCCACGACGACGGGGGCUAGAGUUUUCUCUACUUUGGCGCAGAGGAACAACGGGUCCUUGGCGACGAGGGCGGCGACGUCGGUGCCGGAGAGGCCGAGGCCGGCGAGGAAGGAAAGGACGGCGUCGGGCUUGGACGAGGACUUGAGGUGGGAGAGCUUGGCGGAGGCCUUGAGUGCCUGGGGUCGGGUGAGGCCGAAGGUGGAGACGAGGUAGUCGUCGACGACGAAGCUAGGGUUUGGGGAAACGCCGGGCGCGGCGGCCGCGGAGAGGGGGCGGUGGAGAGGGGGGCCUGAGAGGUGGCGGGGGAAGAGAGGAGCCGCACGAGGAUGCAGCCACGGAGGCGGAGCAUGGCGGCGGCGGCGGCGGAGAGAUUGAUUCCCUAUGGAGGCGGGUGCGAAUGGGAUGGUGCUUCGGAGGCGGGGAUGCGGCGCCCCGGCGAGGCAGGUGAGGAACGGAGGAAGAGAACAGGAGGAGAGAUCGAAGAGGAUGGCACUUCGGCGGCGGCGGCGGCGCCGCCGAAGAGAUUUUCCGGUCCGCUGUGAGUGGAGAGGAAAAAUGGGAAAUGGCAGGUGCGAUGCGAAUGGAGGCUCCGCAAAUUGCAAUAUCACUGAAUCCCAGGGGUCUUUACGUCUUUCAAAAAUACAAAAUACAUUUAAAAAAACAUACAUAAUACAUUGAGCCUCAUGGAAACUUUCAUAUACACAUGGAAAAUAGAUAUCCCCUCCGUUUAAUAAUGUAGUGCAUAUAGAUUUUUGAAAGUCGGACUUUGCAAAUUAUGAUCAAAUUUAUAAAGCGAACUACUUAUACCUACAUUAUCAAAUAUAUAAAAUAUGAACCUACGUCUUAUGAUGAAUCUAAUGAUAUAUGCUUGACAUUCUAGAUGUAAAUGUUUUUCUUCACAAACUUGGUCAAAUUUUGUUAGAUUUGACUUUUCAAAAAAUCUACAUGCAAUCAUUAUGCAAUCGGUAUUAUAAGGAAAAUGACUUUGAGCGAUAAGAUUAUAUCACAAAAUAAGCUAUUAUACGACUUGUACUUAUCCUAUGAUUUUUUUCUGUAGGUAUAGUACUUCAUCCGUUUUUAUUUACUUUGCAUAUUAGAGUUGACUGAAGUCAAACUUUGUAAAGUUUGACCAAGUUUAUAGAAAAGAAUAUAAAUAUUUACCCUAACAAACGAAAAUCUGCAUCUGAGCCCGGGCUCAGAUGUUCCCGCUCAGAAAAAAAUUCAAAACAAAUUCUAGAAAAAUUCAAAUAAAUCCAAUUUUUUGUGUGGUAGAUAAUUUGAUGCGUGAGGCCCGCUUCAAAUUUCAACUCAUUUGGAUAUCUGAGGAGCUCUCGGCAAAAAAGACAAAUCGGAUCAAAACAGUUCGUGAACAAUAAACUUUUUUACAGACCCGAUUUUGUCUUUUUGCAGAGAGCUGCUCAAAUGUCCAAACGAGUUGAAAUUUGCAGCAAACCUCACGCAUCAAAUUAUCUAUCACACAAAAAAUGGAAUUUUUUUGAUUUUUUCUAGUAUUUGUUUUGAUUUUUUUCGUCGGAGCGAGUGCAGUUGAGCCCGGGAGCCAAAUUGGCUUAUAUGAUGUGAAAGUAUGUUCAAUAAUGAAUGUAAUGGUAUUGAUUUGUUAUUGUACAUGUUAAUAUUUUUGACUAUAAACUUCGUCAAAAUUUAUAAAGCUUGACUUUGACCAAAACUAAUAUGCGGAAUAAAUAAAAACGGAGGGAGUAAAUGGCUAUGUUUUUUUUUGUACGUAGUAAAUGGUUACUUUUUCUGAUUUUUUUUAAAUGGUUAUGCUUGCUAACCAAUCCAAUUCAAAUUAUAUGUCGCUCAAACGGAUGUAUCUAAUUAAUAUGGAUCGGAUGGAGCAGAAAAGUUCAUAUGGAUAUAUAUUUUCUCAAAACUUGAAAGUAUGAUUUCUACAAGUAAAAAAAAAUCAUAUGUGAACUAUGUUUGUUUUUAGCAUUUUGUGUGCGUUCAUGUUUCUUUUUCUCUCUCUUCAUUCUAGCCUCUUUUCCUCCACCUCACUCUGUUCUCACAUUGACAUUGUUGCCUUUUUCAGUGGACUCCUACCUAUCUUUUCUAACUUUUGCAAGGUGAGAAUUGAGAAGGUUAUUAUUCUUUAGUUUUAUGUGUAUAGCUAUCCUAGAGUCGAGAUCAAUUGCAUCGUGUCCACUUAUCCUCUAUAACACUAAGCUUCCUAGUUUUAAAAAGCCCACACUCAAUUAAGGUCUCCAAUUAGAAUUGGAUCAUCCGAUUUUGAACGGGUCAACAAUUUCUCAAAGCUUCAUAAUCCAAUUUUUUUAUACUAUACCAUAUGCUUCCUAAUUUUUAAGGCCUCACAAUUAAUUAAGAUAUUCAAUAUAGAUUGAUCAUCCAAUUUUGACUGGGUCAACAAUUUCUCAACCUCUCCAAUUGAAUUCUUUUAAUUCACUAUAUUCCAAAAUUUUGAAUCUCUUUCAUUCAAUUGAGGUAUUCAAUUUUGAUUUGGUUGAAGAUUUUGAGUGGGCCAAUGAUUUUCAAAUCAAUCAGCUGCAACUGACCUAUAAAAACAUAUCAAUCCCAUGCACCCUUCCACCACAUAGAAAAAAGAAACGUCACCAUGUGAUAUUGUAGUAUCAAUAUAGUACAUGCAACCACCAACGCAGAAAUUUUUCCACAUAAAUAUAGGUUGGUUAGCGGAUGACACAGUCAUCUCCCCACCCGCCUAACUUAAUAUUCCAUCAGUUAUAAAAUAUGAAGGGUAUUAAUUUUGUAGAAAGUAAAACUUCUUUAACUUUGACCAAGUUCAGAGCAAAAAUAUCAACAUCCACAAUAUUAAACAAAAAAAGUAUGGAAAUUCAUUUCGUGAUGAAUCUAAAAAUACUGAUUUAAUCUUAUGAAUUUUGAUAUAUUUCUCUCAAAUUUGAAAAAACUUAAAAGGUUUGGCUUUUCAAAAAAAUACACCUUAUAUUAUGAAACAGAGUGAUUAGUUUCUUAAGAUACCCAAUAACAUGAACGGCGCAGCAAAGCGCGCAGAACCCUUCUAGUUAGUAGUAUAUCUAAGAACAAUUAGCAUCCCAUUGAUGAUCGAUAAACCUUCUUAGUCCAGCUAGUGGUUGGUUGUCUAGAGUAUAGCUGGCCAAAUGGGCCGGUUUUUUCGGGUCGGCCCGUGAGCACGCCGGCACGGCCCACCUUGGGCCAGGCACGGCACGGGCCAAACGAGCCAGGCCCAGCACGCGGCACGCCCUAGGCCGUGCCUGGGCUGGAGGCUGGGCAUGCGGGCCGGCACGGCACGGCCCGAUUAUGUUUUUUAUAUUUGUUAUACAUUUAUAUAUGAUCCAACAUGUAAAAAUAAGCUAAAAACGCUCAAUGCGUCAAAUAAUAGGCUAAAAAUAUGCGGCCCACCGUGCUAAAUGGGCCAACGUGCCGGCUCGUUUACUAACGGGCCGUGCCUGGGCCUGGGGGCGCAGCACGCGGGCCGGCACGGCACGGCACGUAUAGUAAUCGUGCCCUGGCGGACCGUGCCGGACCAGGCACGAUUAUGAUGGGCCGGGCCAUGCCGUGCCGGGCCAGCCCGUUUGGCUAGGUAUGGUCUAGAGAUCUAUAUGGAGUCAGUUGAGAUGGGAUGGUCAGCCAAGUGGGUUGAUCAAUGCUCCUCUUAAAAUUCGAAGCCUAAAGUAGAUGUGCUACUCGAGAAAUAAAAAGACCAACGUAGACCGUACCAACAUCUAAUAUUUGACGUCACAUUUAAAUUUGAUACUAUUCAUACCCAUAAUUGUCCCUUUGCUCAUCGAAUUAUGCAUCUUAUAUAAAUGUUGUAAAUGAUCAAUUUUUAUAAUAAUUUUAGGGUUGUAGUUCGGUGCAUAGGUAGCUCAGAGGAACCAUAGUCAUCGCUUCCUCUCCAAAAAAGCUUAGGGUUCCUAUGCCUCCCGCUGGCGCAGCUGCCGGUCCACCUCGUCUCCGGUGGCCCUAGGGUCAUGGGGACACGGUGAAUCUCAUCCCUUACCAGAGGGCUUCGUUUUUAGACGUUUCUUUGAAUUUUGUUAGGGUUGUGUCUUGCUAAUUAAGGAGGGCAAGACAACGACGGCUUCCUGAAGAUUGAAUAAGAUUCUCCCCGCCUAGCCCCCGUCUCGAUGGCGCAUCUAACAUCGUCGAAGAGUGUGUGGAGGUGUAUCUCCGCCAGAUCUCGCAGGAUUCGGUAGGUGGUUUGUCUUUGGUGGAUCUACUCGGACCCGGUCUUCGUUCGUCUACGUUUGUGUGUCGCUAGAUUGGAUCCUUCCGAUCUAUGGGUCUCUUCAUCGGCGGGGGUUGCUAUUCUAGUGCGCUGGUCCUACGAGGCCUUAGCACGACAAGUUCCCGACUGUGUACUACAAUAAGUUCUGCCCGGCUCCGGGGAGGGAAGGGCGAUGACGACGGUGCGUCUUCGGCUCGUUUUAAUGCUUGUAGUCUUUGCUAGAUGGUCUAAGGAUGAAUGUGAUUUUUAUUAUUCCUAUUGUUCAUUGUAUUGUCAUGAUUGAAAAUGAAUAUAUCAAAUGAUUUCUCAUAGAAAAGAAGCUCAUAAGAACCAUUAAAAGGACAAUCGUGUGGUCUCCCUAGACUUUUUUUUAGAAAAGGAGGAAGACCCCCGGCCUCUGCAUCUGAGCGAUGCAUACAACCACUUUAUUAAUUAUUCUCAAAAGACCUUACAAAGAAAUACAACAAUAAGUCUGAAGCCAUCAUCUAGGCAACAUCUGUUGCUACUCCUAUUCAUUUGAUGAAGGGAUGCUGAUAGUCUGGGCUUAAUACCAAACAGACCUCGCAGCCAAACCUAACAUCUAAGACCUGAGUUCCCAUCCAGGACGCCUGCCGGGUAUGGGUCACCCACCGGUCCGGCACACUCCUCAACAUGGACGCCUGCCGGGUAUGAGGCCGCCGCAGCCACCUGCCACCAAUCCAUCUUCAGAGAUGUAGUGUUGCAUCUACCUUGUCCGGUCUAGCUGCCGUCGACGCCACCACGAUGCCAGACAACGCCACCAUCCUGCGCUCGUCCAUCAACACACGCCCAGCAGCAAGAUCCCGCUGCUCUAUGCCCCUGAGACCCGCCAUUGUCGACGUAUCAGAUGCAACGCCGCUCCUCCUUCGCGAACACCACCUUCUACCACUGGUCCUAUCCCCUCCACCUGUAGAUCCUCUGAACUCCCAACCGAGCCCUAGUGCCCCUGACGACACCUCCAGGAAGGUCACGACGCAAAAAGCGCCGCUGCCGCCAGAUCCGAAAAGGAUUGAAGGUUUUCACCCGGCCGGGGAUCGGGGUGGAUAGAUUGGGCCCUCAGCUGCGCCUUCAUGAAGGAAAGCGGCACCCAUGAGCGUCGCCGCCGCCGGGCCGGCUAGACUGGCCAAGGUUUUCCCCGGACCCAAAGUACACCACCAGGGCUGACCACCACCGGAGCCUGCAGCCGUAAACCACCAGGACGACGACAGAGGCAGCAGGAGAAAGGGGAACCAUUAAAAGGACAAUCGUGUGGUCUCCCUAGAUGGUCCUUGGAGGGAGCGAUGCAAUUUCAUUUCCUUUUUAUUGCAUUCUCAUGGAUCUAUGGGAUACACAGAUUUGGAAUAGCCAUGCGUUAUAUAGGUUUGGAAAAGAUGAAUGGGCAGGACAAAGCCCAUCAAGGUCCACAGUUGGACAUGGUAUUUUUCUCUUCCCUGAUCUUGUGUGGUUGUUACAUUACAACGAGGACUAGAUGCAUUCAUGAACCUGAGGAGACUAUAUACGGUGAUUAUAUCGUGGCUAUCAUAUUUACCUAUUUUACAAAGAAUGAUCGGAUAUAAUUUACUGGUACAAUCCAUUGUGUGCCUUUCACGCUUCCGUCAGUUUAAUUUCCUCACAUUUUAAGUAGUCUUGUGAAGUUGUGAUCAGGUAGCUCGCAAUCUGAAUUUCUGUAAUGAAUUUUUUUUGGUCCAACGAGUAAAACGUAGACUUGGUGACCCUCAAAAGGGAUGAUAUUUUACAUAACGAGUAAAUCAUGAUGUCCUUAGAUAUUUCUUAUGAGUAUUUCUUCUUUUCUGCGGAAAAGUUUCUUGUCUUCCGAACUCUUGGAUGUGGGCAGAACUCUUGAUGAGCCGAGGCACCCGCGGCAUGCCAUUGUGAGUCAAGUUUGCCAUUGUUUGAUGGGAAGUUUUCAAGUGCUACAUGUAGAAGGACGCUAUAGUGGCUGCAAUCUUGCUGCUAAGUGACACGUACUGUCACCCUGUUUCUAAUGAAAAAAACUGAAGAACAAUGACUCAUUUAAACAUUGUUCAAUUUUGUGGUUCAUGAGCCUUUUCUUCAAAGUUUACUUAAAAGUUGGGUUAUUAGGUAAAAAAUGGUUCCUUUCCUUUUGUGCUUGCAAUUUAUUGUCCUGACAAAAACACUUUUUAUUGCAGUGCUAAGAAAAUGCGUCUACUACUUGACUGAACUAAAUACUCUUGAUAGCAAACCCUCUCUGGGCAUAUUCGUAGAUUCAAGGUGAGGAGACAUGCCAGCAUACAGACCAGCAACAUACAUGGCACAUGUACGACGUUCUAACAAGAGCAUAAAGUUGAUUGAUUCUUGAUAGCAUCACCUGAAUAUAUCACUCACGGAUUCAUGAAUGUUCCCCGUUGCAAUGCACGGCCAUUCACCUAGUAAAGGCAAUGAUUUGUUGGUAGUAGAGGCAUCUCAUGUUUCAAAGGGUUAAACCUUAGCCGUCGUGACCCGGCUCCAUGGCUGGGUCAAUCUCGCACCUCUGUUGGUGCCGAACCCUAGGCAAAUUCCCCCAAAUCUCUUGUUGUUUCUAUUGAUUGACCGAAUGUGAGGAGCAAUAGUAGAUCAAUAACUCUCGUAUAACCGAGGGAAAAAGAAAUGAAGAGAAGUUGGCGAAAGUAUCAAGUGGUACAUCUACUUUUUAUAACAUCACAUGAAGCCGGCGAAAAGGAAAGCCGAUCAACGAAGAAACUGCAUAGGGGACCUAUCAUGAGUGAACAUUGCGUGGGCGCCAUUGGCCGCAUCUCAUCAUCUUGUUGUGUAGAAGAAGAAAUGACUGCCGAUGCUGCUGGUGCCUCCAUCUCUAUGACCUUGCCGUCCAAGCCCGCAUUAGCAACAAACACGUAGCACUAGAGCACGGGAGGAGAGUUGAUCAGGGAAAUCGCCUUUCUUGACGACAGGAGAAUUAGUGAUGGGCGACUCCACGCGACGCUGAUGUGAUUUCAGGCCACACUAAAGGAUGUCGGAGAAGGGGGCCAUAGGACGAACUCAACCGCAUCGGUAGUGGGCUUGGUGGAUAUUGUGUCGAGGGCUCGGGGACGCACUCGGUGAUGGUGGUGGACCUCGGGGAGGGGGGCCUCAUACACGUGGAUGCAGGGGAAAAGAGGGUGCACGGGCUUGAAGGCAUUACUCAUCCACCUCUUCUGGCAAAGAGAGCUCAUCGGGGCCAACCGCGUGAAGGAGGAGCUUGAGGUAGCUUGGAGGAGGCGACGACGACAACCAGAUCCAUCUGGCAAGCCAGAGUGGAGGCAUCCCACGUGGGAGCAGUGAUUUCGGUGCCUAAGCUUAGAUGCACCUGCUAUUAUGUUUGUUCAUUGCUGCAUGGAGAUUCAGGAAAUGGGGCAUGAGGUGGCAUUGCUAGGGCGUGGAAAAUCCCCAAAAUGAACUAUACAUGCAUGAAUAGUGUGAUACAUGUGGGUCUAUCGUGUAGCACACGAGGAGGGUUCGAACGAAGGACAGACGGUGCCAUCUUGGUUGGAUUCUGAUCCAUGGCACCUAAUCGUCUGCAUUCAUCUAAGUCGUGGCUCACUCUGCUGCCUGUGGCAUGACUUUGACACUUUGAAUCCGAGUCAUGGCCUAAAGAUUUGUGUAGCUCCAGUUGGGGCCUGCGGUGUAGGAUCGUCGGUACGCACACCGAAUGUCAUCCACGACCGACGUCGGCCAACAGAUUGCUAGCUUACUAGACGCUACAAGAGGUAGCGUCCUUCGUGAAGUUUGUGUGCUUCAACACCAACCAGGUCAUCCUAAGCCGUCAUGGACAACCCAUUCAUCUACGUGGUUGACUUCAACAUUGGAGACGACUUCUCAUGGUCGUUGCUCAUGUCACACCUUGCUCACCAUGGCAACAAGCUGUUUCAUGUCACGUCACUUGCCACCACAUUAAUGCACCGCGCGGAUACGCAUGCACCUACAAUCGUGCAUGGUGUCCCUCAGAGUUCACGCGCGUCCCUAGGGGCUCCCAUUCCAGUACGACGAGAAGGACCUCCUGGUCUGGGCUGGAAGUCACGUAAUGGUACCUACAACAAUCUCGAAAAGAGUAGAAGGCCUGGAUUUCGAGAGCAUCUGAGCUCGCACUUAGAAAUCUAUUUUUGUUCCCACGGUCCAUACAUAGAGAGAAACUAGAAAAGAAAAUGCAAAACACGCAUACAUGCAUGCAUGCUUCCACAAAUGGGUUACCAGAUACCUUUCUGGGGCUCUGGUGACCUCACAUUCAUUGUUGACCCCUUACGACCUCACAAUCAUGGGAGAGAUUUCAUGACCGCACACUGUCUCUAUAAAAGCCUAUCACCUCUAUGAAUCAUGUGGCUCCAUCAUUUCAAAUCCUCCGCGCGCCUAAGAUACCACUUGAGAAAUUACUAAUGGCCAACGGAAAGAAUGUCAUGGCCAUGUUGUUUCUCACCACCAUUGUGGCGGUGGCGGCCACAAGGCCAGCCGAGACCUAUGGCGCUGCGGAGGAGAACACAUUGAAGAUGGCUACCCCCAGCAAGAAAGGGGUUGACGCUACCUUAGCAGCUACACGUGUUGUUGCCGCCGAGAAGUCCAUCAAGAAGGCUGAAAGCGCCACCACACCAGAAGAGGCCGCGACUGCCAAGCAAGAUGGAGCAAAAUCUGCUUCUGCUGCAUUAAAGUACAAUGCCAUCUCUCAGCAGGCAAAUGGUAAAGGUUCUUCUACCUCCCUAGGCAGGAAAGAAGCAGCCGGUACUUUAGCCGCCGCACACUAUGCCGCCGCCGAGAAGUCCAUCAAGAAGGCCGAAACCGCCAAGACACCUGCAAAGGCCGUGGCUGCCAAGCGAGACGCAGCAAAGUCUGUUGACAAUGCAUUAAAGUAUGAUGCCAUCUCUCGGAAAGCAGCUGGUACAAGUUCUUCUACCUCCCCCAAUAGGAAAGAAGGCACCACUGAUGCUGCUAAGAUGUUCACCAAGAAGGCUGAAACCGCUACCACACCUGAAGAGGCCGCGAAUGCCAAGCAAGCUGCAGCCAAGUCUACCGCUGCUACAUCAAAGUAUGGUGUCAUUUCUCAGCAAGUAGCUGGUACAAGUUCUUCUACCUCCCCUAGCAGGAAAGAAGCUGCCGGUACCUUGGCAGAUGCUCACAUAGCUACUGCCGAGAAGUCCAUCAAGAAGGCUGAAACCGCCACCAGACCUGAAGAGGCAGCAUCCGCUAAGAAGGAUGCCGCGAAAUCUGAGGCUAAUGCAAUGCAGUACGGGGCCAUCUCUCAGCAGGCCACCGGCAAAAAUGGUGCCUAAGUGGUGCCUUAAACACCUAUUCACGCGCAACAUCAUCUACAUACUACCAUGCACGCAAAAUAGCAGCAUUGAGAUACCACGUUAUGCUAAUUCUCAUGCAUGCAUGCUUUGUUUAAACGUUCACAUUAUGAAUCAUGUAUUAAUGUCUUGCUUGUUUUAUUUUUAGUAGUAAGACACGCUUGACUUGCUUUAAAAAAAAUACAACAAUCGAUGUAUACAUGUAUCAUCUGAAAAUUAAUAAUAUGAGUUCCACCACAAUUUGUGUCUUUUUGUCAUAUUUUGGGUGCAAUCAAUGCACACAUCCAAUACACAAAAUUGGACGAGUCAAUGUGUUAUGGCUCCAUGGAGCGGCGAAUCAUGUUUUAUUGUCUUGCUUGUUUUACUUUUAGUAGUAACUAG